rnacentral:lncRNA from 1 species
CGCUUUGUAAGCUGAGCAUCUUGCCGCCGGAUUUUGAAGGCAAGGUGAAGAUGAAAGAGUGGCUUGUGAGGCUGUCUAAGAUGGGGGCUUCUGAUGAGCUCACUGAGCAGCAGGCCAGGCAGCUUCACUUUGACCUUGAGUCUUCCUACAACUCCUUCAUGGCUGCUUUGCCUAGUGCCGGUAACUAAAUAAUCAUGUUGUGUAAUGAUCAUGCCAGAUAAUUGUCUUCAUCUGAAUUGUAUGAAUCUAAAUUCUUACCUUGUUUUCGUUAGCUAUGAACUUAGAAAAGGUUAUUAGUCAGCAUUCAUCCAUUAGUAUAUAUUAACAGUAAGCUUGGUUGAUUGAAGCCAAAAAAGAAUCUCAGAAUUUUUUUUUUAAGAAAAGGAAUCUUUACGAUUAAUACUGAGAAGAAGAAAAAAAACACAAAACAAGUGUGAUUCUGUACAUGAGAGAAACAAUUAAAUUACAACCACCACAAGGAAACGCCAUUUACAGUAAUUAAACAAUUAUUAAAACGUCAAUCAUUGUUUAUGAAUUAUGAUGUGUGAAUGUGUCUUCAUCUCAUCGUGUAGUGUUGUAACAUAUAAUCAAUACUCAGGAGAGAAGAGAGUGGCCAAACCUUGAUCAACUGUUACUUGAAGCUUGUCGUAGGACAUCAAAGCAAUUUGCUCACAUUUAUAGGAUCUUCUUCCCCUUGCCAAUACCUCUCCAUCUGCAUCUAUGAUUCCUUCUGUGUCUGGUUCGCCUACCAGUAUACCCGGUUCAAGUGCAAAUGCCUUCACCUUUUUAUAUACAGUAAAUUGAUUUCAAUCUUUUAGCCAAAUUCACAAGGGACUACUGAAUUCAUGGUAUCAGAUGGCAAACCUUUAGAUAUGCUACGUAUGGUGACUGAACAUGUGUUCCUUCACUUAUCUGUGUCAUAAGCGAUAGCAAAGCUAGCUUAGGGCACUUUUUCAAGACAAUCAAAUCCAGGAAGCCAUCAGAAAACUGCUCAGAUAACACAAAACUUAGCCACAUCAAAUUUUCUUAUUUUCUCAUGAAGGCCUAGUCCUCCAAGAACGGUGUUUCCUGAUUUAGAAAUGUCACAAAAUGUGUAAAACUUACCUUUGCUGCAGGAGCAACCAAAUUGUUCUCAGCACCCCAGGGAACAUUAUGAAGCCAUACUGAAACAAAAGGGCCUUUGAUUUCUCUCCAUUCGUCAACAUCUUCAAAUUUAGUAUCAGGUCCUUGGUAUCCAAGCGCCUUAUUAUUGCUAACAGGUGGCUCUUUGUAUAGACGGUAACUUGUUGGCUGCCCAUAGCCUUCAAAACCAGGAGCCGGUAGAAACAAAACUCGUCCAUUGUAUUGUCUUAAACAUAUUAUCCUUUGAAUGGCCUACAGAUACAAGCCAGUCAGGAGAGCAUUGAAUAUUAUCUUUAGUUGAAUAAGACAACAGCUGAGCAAAAUCAGAUAAUCCACAAGCAACUAAUUAAUGGAUAUAUUUCAACAUACUGACUACAUGCACAGUUUUAAGACUUGCAAUGCAAAAGAUCGUCAGUGUUUUCAACUAAACAUACAUAGAAGUCCAUGCGAGCACUACCCAUCCAUCUGAACUUCUCUGACUCUAUGUCUAUAUCAGCCACUAAACCUGAAAACAAAUCAGCAUUAAUCUCAACACAACCAACGGUAUAAUCUAUCUACCAAGCUCAGGCACUAUUUUCAUUAGCAAAAUAUACUUGCAUACCCCAAGCAAGCAUCAAGACGCUGAAGAAUUUGGUAUUUCCUUGUGAGAUAGUUGCCACAUCUAAAGAACGUGUAUGACCUGCCAAUACCAAAUUAUGUUGAAAGUGAGCUGCUUCAUGGGUAUAAAGAAAGACUGUUUUUGAAGGAGGCAAUUGCACGGAGUAGGACCUCGGAUAAUAGAGAUAGUAGCACUAUUUGCACAGCACUGAAGCCCAACCGCAUCCAACAAUGACUUUAUCAUGCCAUUACCAGUUCCUGGAUCCAAAAAUUACAUUGAAGCAUACAAACAGGGGAAAAAAAAGCUAAAAAGGAUAUUUAAAAUGUAUUUUUAGAUCCGUGGAAUGCAUCUUAACAUAUAGCAUCCAACCCCAUUCACAUAAAAAUUACUAUUUACUAAGAACACAAAAAAAAAGCAAAGUUCUUAAGGGUUCCUCAUAGACCAGACGACAAACCUGCAGGGAUCACUCCAAUUGGCAAUUUGAAGACAGUUUUCCAGUCUGCUCUUUGAAGCAGUCCAUUUACAACCUAUUUAAAAUUAAGACACACUUGUAAAAAAUCAGAGAUCAUUAAGAAAAUAAUCGAAUAAACUCAGAAUCAGAUCUAAGCAAACACAACAGACAAGGGAUUGCUUUCUCUAAGAGCAGAAUCACUUUUAAAAUGAAAGCAUAUCACUUACCUCAACAAGGACACCGUCGCCACUGACACAAACAAUACCAUCAUACUUUGAUACAUCCAUGGACCUAACCAUUUCCCUUGCAUGCAACUGAUACUUGGUUUCUAGAAAAUCAACAUUUCAAUUGUUAGUUUCAUAGAGAAGAGUUCUGGGAAACAGAGGGGGAAGAAAUCAGGAACCUUGAACAUCAAGUUGAAUGUCAGCAUCUUCAAACAAUGGCUUCACUUGCUUUUCAAAUAUCUUUAGAGCAGAUUUCUUCCCGCCAAAAGGGUUCACAAACACAAGCAACCUCUUUGGCCGACCUACAAUUUCAACAAAGACUUGCCAGUUUUAGCAUUCUGAGAGUUUCUUAAUCACCGUGUUACACAAGUUUCCUUUUUUUUUUCUUAAACCCUAGCUACUAUAAAAGGGUUGGCAAGAAAGGACUAACCGAGAGAGUCAAGGUAUUGACGGAGCUUGAAGCAGAAUCUAUUCUUAGCAUCUUCAGAGAAAGGCUCAAAGACGAAGUCUUUUCUGGAGUAAUCUCCACCAAACUCUCCGCAACAGAUACCUUCCUCUCUCUCCACCACUGUUUUGAUUCUAAUAUAUUUACCUUCCACGACGAAACCGAGAACGUCUUUCUUCACCGUCCAGUAACGGCUGGGUUCGCCGUACUCGAUCGCUUCUAAAACUCCAUCGGCGGUCAACUUCACCAUCCCGAGUUCGCCGUCUAUUAAGACUAGGUCGACGACUAUUACCUCCGCCGGAGCCAUAACGGAGAGAGUUAGAUUCUUUGUUAGCUUUGCAGGUGAGUGCCAUUUACAGUAAUUAAACAAUUAUUAAAACGUCAAUCAUUGUUUAUGAAUUAUGAUGUGUGAAUGUGUCUUCAUCUCAUCGUGUAGUGUUGUAACAUAUAAUCAAUACUCAGGAGAGAAGAGAGUGGCCAAACCUUGAUCAACUGUUACUUGAAGCUUGUCGUAGGACAUCAAAGCAAUUUGCUCACAUUUAUAGGAUCUUCUUCCCCUUGCCAAUACCUCUCCAUCUGCAUCUAUGAUUCCUUCUGUGUCUGGUUCGCCUACCAGUAUACCCGGUUCAAGUGCAAAUGCCUUCACCUUUUUAUAUACAGUAAAUUGAUUUCAAUCUUUUAGCCAAAUUCACAAGGGACUACUGAAUUCAUGGUAUCAGAUGGCAAACCUUUAGAUAUGCUACGUAUGGUGACUGAACAUGUGUUCCUUCACUUAUCUGUGUCAUAAGCGAUAGCAAAGCUAGCUUAGGGCACUUUUUCAAGACAAUCAAAUCCAGGAAGCCAUCAGAAAACUGCUCAGAUAACACAAAACUUAGCCACAUCAAAUUUUCUUAUUUUCUCAUGAAGGCCUAGUCCUCCAAGAACGGUGUUUCCUGAUUUAGAAAUGUCACAAAAUGUGUAAAACUUACCUUUGCUGCAGGAGCAACCAAAUUGUUCUCAGCACCCCAGGGAACAUUAUGAAGCCAUACUGAAACAAAAGGGCCUUUGAUUUCUCUCCAUUCAACAUCUUCAAAUUUAGUAUCAGGUCCUUGGUAUCCAAGCGCCUUAUUAUUGCUAACAGGUGGCUCUUUGUAUAGACGGUAACUGGUUGGCUGCCCAUAGCUUUCAAACCCAGGAGCCGGUAGAAACAAAACUCGUCCAUUGUAUUGUCUUAAACUUAUUAUCCUUUGAACGGCCUACAGAUACAAGCCAGUCAGGAGAGCAUUGAAUAUUAUCUUUAGUUGAAUAAGACAGCAGCUGAGCAAAAUCAGAUAAUCCACAAGCAACUAAUUAUGGAUAUAUUUCAACAUACUGACUACAUGCACAGUUUAAGACUUGCAAUGCAAAAGAUCGUCGACAGUGUUUUCAGCUAAACAUACAUAGAAGUCCAUACGAGCACUACCCAUCCAUCUGAACUUCUCUGACUCUAUGUCUAUAUCAGCCACUAAACCUGAAAACAAAUCAGCAUUAAUCUCAACACAACCAACGGUAUAAUCUAUCUACCAAGCUCAGGCACUAUUUUCAUUAGCAAAAUAUACUUUCAUACCCCAAGCAAGCAUCAAGACGCUGAAGAAUUUGGUAUUUCCUUGUGAGAUAGUUGCCACAUCUAAAGAACGUGUAUGCCCUGCCAAUACCAAAUCAUGUUGCCACAUCUAAAGAAUUUGGUGUUUCAUAAGAAUGAAAGGAUGUUUUUGAAGGAGGCAAUAGCACGGAGCUGGACCUCGGAUAAUAGAGAUAGUAGCACUAUUUGCACAGCACUGAAGCCCAACCGCAUCCAACAAUGACUUUAUCAUGCCAUUACCAGUUCCUGGAUCCAAGAAUUACAUUGAAGCAUACAAACAGGGAAAAAAAAAACUAAAAAGGAUAUUUAGAAAUGUAUUUUUAGAUCCCUAGAAUGCAUCUUAACAUAUAGCAUCCAACCCCAUUCACAUAAAAAUUACUAUUUAAUAAGAACACAAAAAAAAAAAGCAAAGUUCUUAAGGGUUCCUCAUAGACCAGACCACAAACCUGCAGGGAUCACUCCAAUUGGCAAUUUGAAGACAGUUUGCCAGUCUGAUCUUUGAAGCAGUCCAUUUACAACCUAUUUAAAAUUAAGACACACUUGUAAAAAAUCAGAGAUCAUUAAGAAAAUAAUCAAAUAACCUCAGAAUCAGAUCUAAGCAAACACAACAGACAAGGGAUUGCUUUCUCUAAGAGCAGAAUCACUUUUAAAAUGAAAGCAUAUCACUUACCUCAACAAGGACACCGUCGCCACUGACACAAACAAUACCAUCAUACUUUGAUACAUCCAUGGACCUAACCAUUUCCCUUGCAUGCAACUGAUACUUGGUUUCUAGAAAAUCAACAUUUCAAUUGUUAGUUUCAUAGAGAAGAGUUCUGGGAAACAGAGGGGGAAGAAAUCAGGAACCUUGAACAUCAAGUUGAAUGUCAGCAUCUUCAAACAAUGGCUUCACUUGCUUUUCAAAUAUCUUUAGAGCAGAUUUCUUCCCGCCAAAAGGGUUCACAAACACAAGCAACCUCUUUGGCCGACCUACAAUUUCAACAAAGACUUGCCAGUUUUAGCAUUCUGAGAGUUUCUUAAUCACCGUGUUACACAAGUUUCCUUUUUUUUUUCUUAAACCCUAGCUACUAUAAAAGGGUUGGCAAGAAAGGACUAACCGAGAGAGUCAAGGUAUUGACGGAGCUUGAAGCAGAAUCUAUUCUUAGCAUCUUCAGAGAAAGGCUCAAAGACGAAGUCUUUUCUGGAGUAAUCUCCACCAAACUCUCCGCAACAGAUACCUUCCUCUCUCUCCACCACUGUUUUGAUUCUAAUAUAUUUACCUUCCACGACGAAACCGAGAACGUCUUUCUUCACCGUCCAGUAACGGCUGGGUUCGCCGUACUCGAUCGCUUCUAAAACUCCAUCGGCGGUCAACUUCACCAUCCCGAGUUCGCCGUCUAUUAAGACUAGGUCGACGACUAUUACCUCCGCCGGAGCCAUAACNNNNNNNNNNNNNNNNNNNNNNNNNNNNNNNNNNNNNNNNNNNNNNNNNNNNNNNNNNNNNNNNNNNNNNNNNNNNNNNNNNNNNNNNNNNNNNNNNNNNNNNNNNNNNNNNNNNNNNNNNNNNNNNNNNNNNNNNNNNNNNNNNNNNNNNNNNNNNNNNNNNNNNNNNNNNNNNNNNNNNNNNNNNNNNNNNNNNNNNNNNNNNNNNNNNNNNNNNNNNNNNNNNNNNNNNNNNNNNNNNNNNNNNNNNNNNNNNNNNNNNNNNNNNNNNNNNNNNNNNNNNNNNNNNNNNNNNNNNNNNNNNNNNNNNNNNNNNNNNNNNNNNNNNNNNNNNNNNNNNNNNNNNNNNNNNNNNNNNNNNNNNNNNNNNNNNNNNNNNNNNNNNNNNNNNNNNNNNNNNNNNNNNNNNNNNNNNNNNNNNNNNNNNNNNNNNNNNNNNNNNNNNNNNNNNNNNNNNNNNNNNNNNNNNNNNNNNNNNNNNNNNNNNNNNNNNNNNNNNNNNNNNNNNNNNNNNNNNNNNNNNNNNNNNNNNNNNNNNNNNNNNNNNNNNNNNNNNNNNNNNNNNNNNNNNNNNNNNNNNGCUCUGCUUCCGUUGUUGCUGAGUGCGUGCAGAAUUUUAUAACUGCGAUGGAUUCGUUUAAGCUCAACAUGGUGGCUGUUGACCAGGUGUAUCCGUUGCUGUCUGAUCUCUCUGCUUCGCUUAGUAAGCUGAGCAUUUUGGCGCAGGAUUUUGAAGGGAAGGUGAAGAUGAAAGAGUGGCUUGUGAGGCUGUCUAAGAUGGGGGCUUCUGAUGAGCUCACUGAGCAGCAGGCGAGGCAGCUUCACUUUGACCUUGAGUCUUCCUACAACUCCUUCAUGGCUGCUUUGCCUAGUGCCGGUAACUAAAUUGUGUGUGUGUGUGUGUUCCUCUGUUACUUUUGUUAAGGGACUACUUGGGUAAUCUAUUUGCUGCUGCACUCUCUGGAUAUGAAUGUUGUGUAGACAGAAACAGGCCUUUCUUUUGUUGUGUAGUGACAUGCCAGAUUAUUGUAUGAAUCUAAAUUCUUACCUUGUUUUGGUUAGCUAUGAACUUAGAAAAGGUAAUUAGUCAGCAUUCAUCCAUUAGUAUAUUUAACUGCCUUUGAUAAGCUUGGUUGAUUGAAGCCAAAAAAAAAGGAUCAGAAUCUCUCUCAGAAUUUUUUUUUAAAAUGGAAUCUUUACGAUUAAUAAUGAGAAAAAAAAACACACAAAACAAGUGUGAUUCUCAUUUCCAAAUAAUGUAUCUGUACAUGUGAAACAAUUAAAUUACAACCACACGGGAACACCAUUUACAAUAAGAGAUUAUUAUACAAUUAAAACGUCAAUCAGUUUUUAUGAAAUAUGAUGUGUGAAUGUGUCUUCAUCUCACGUGUAGUGUUGUAAUAUUUAUCAGUACUCAGGAGAGAAGAGAGUAGCUAAACCUUGAUCAACUGUAAUUUGAAGCUUGUCGUAAGACAUCAAAGCAAUUUGCUCGCAUUUAUACGUUCGUCUUCCUCUUGCCAACACCUCUCCAUCUGCAUCUAUGAUUCCUUCCUUGUCUGGUUCGUCUACGAGUGCCCCCGGUUCAAGUGCAAAUGCCUUCACCUUUUUAUAUACAGUUAAAUUAAUUGGAAGCUUUUAUCCAAAUCACAAGAUGGAAAUUCACAAAGGACAUAUGGGUUCAUGGCAUCAAAUGGUAACCUUUAGAUAUGCAACAUAUGGUGAUUGAACAUGUGUUCCCUCACUUAUCUGUGUCAUAAGUGAUAGCAAAGCUAGCUUAGGACAGUUUUUCACGACGAUCAAAUCCAGGAAGCCAUCAGAAAACUGCUGAUCAAAAACCAUAUAUAAGAACGAAAUCAUUAUGAUGUUUUUUGGAAGUAAAUGUCACAAAAUGUGUGAAACUGACCUUUGCUGCAGGAGCAACCAAAUUGUUCUCAGCACCCCAGGGAACAUUAUGAAGCCAUACUGAAACAAAAGGGCCUUUGAUUUCUCUCCAUUCAACAUCUUCAAAUUUAGUAUCAGGUCCUUGGUAUCCAAGCGCCUUAACAGGUGGCUCUUUGUAUAGACGGUAACUGGUUGGCUGCCCAUAGCUUUCAAACCCAGGAGCCGGUAGAAACAAAACUCGUCCAUUGUAUUGUCUUAAACUUAUUAUCCUUUGAACGGCCUACAGAUACAAGCCAGUCAGGAGAGCAUUGAAUAUUAUCUUUAGUUGAAUAAGACAGCAGCUGAGCAAAAUCAGAUAAUCCACAAGCAACUAAUUAUGGAUAUAUUUCAACAUACUGACUACAUGCACAGUUUAAGACUUGCAAUGCAAAAGAUCGUCGACAGUGUUUUCAACUAAACAUACAUAGAAGUCCAUACGAGCACUACCCAUCCAUCUGAACUUCUCUGACUCUAUGUCUAUAUCAGCCACUAAACCUGAAAACAAAUCAGCAUUAAUCUCAACACAACCAACGGUAUAAUCUAUCUACCAAGCUCAGGCACUAUUUUCAUUAGCAAAAUAUACUUUCAUACCCCAAGCAAGCAUCAAGACGCUGAAGAAUUUGGUAUUUCCUUGUGAGAUAGUUGCCACAUCUAAAGAACGUGUAUGCCCUGCCAAUACCAAAUCAUGUUGCCACAUCUAAAGAAUUUGGUGUUUCAUAAGAAUGAAAGGAUGUUUUUGAAGGAGGCAAUAGCACGGAGCUGGACCUCGGAUAAUAGAGAUAGUAGCACUAUUUGCACAGCACUGAAGCCCAACCGCAUCCAACAAUGACUUUAUCAUGCCAUUACCAGUUCCUGGAUCCAAGAAUUACAUUGAAGCAUACAAACAGGGAAAAAAAAAACUAAAAAGGAUAUUUAGAAAUGUAUUUUUAGAUCCCUAGAAUGCAUCUUAACAUAUAGCAUCCAACCCCAUUCACAUAAAAAUUACUAUUUAAUAAGAACACAAAAAAAAAAAGCAAAGUUCUUAAGGGUUCCUCAUAGACCAGACCACAAACCUGCAGGGAUCACUCCAAUUGGCAAUUUGAAGACAGUUUUCCAGUCUGCUCUUUGAAGCAGUCCAUUUACAACCUAUUUAAAAUUAAGACACACUUGUAAAAAAUCAGAGAUCAUUAAGAAAAUAAUCGAAUAAACUCAGAAUCAGAUCUAAGCAAACACAACAGACAAGGGAUUGCUUUCUCUAAGAGCAGAAUCACUUUUAAAAUGAAAGCAUAUCACUUACCUCAACAAGGACACCGUCGCCACUGACACAAACAAUACCAUCAUACUUUGAUACAUCCAUGGACCUAACCAUUUCCCUUGCAUGCAACUGAUACUUGGUUUCUAGAAAAUCAACAUUUCAAUUGUUAGUUUCAUAGAGAAGAGUUCUGGGAAACAGAGGGGGAAGAAAUCAGGAACCUUGAACAUCAAGUUGAAUGUCAGCAUCUUCAAACAAUGGCUUCACUUGCUUUUCAAAUAUCUUUAGAGCAGAUUUCUUCCCGCCAAAAGGGUUCACAAACACAAGCAACCUCUUUGGCCGACCUACAAUUUCAACAAAGACUUGCCAGUUUUAGCAUUCUGAGAGUUUCUUAAUCACCGUGUUACACAAGUUUCCUUUUUUUUUUCUUAAACCCUAGCUACUAUAAAAGGGUUGGCAAGAAAGGACUAACCGAGAGAGUCAAGGUAUUGACGGAGCUUGAAGCAGAAUCUAUUCUUAGCAUCUUCAGAGAAAGGCUCAAAGACGAAGUCUUUUCUGGAGUAAUCUCCACCAAACUCUCCGCAACAGAUACCUUCCUCUCUCUCCACCACUGUUUUGAUUCUAAUAUAUUUACCUUCCACGACGAAACCGAGAACGUCUUUCUUCACCGUCCAGUAACGGCUGGGUUCGCCGUACUCGAUCGCUUCUAAAACUCCAUCGGCGGUCAACUUCACCAUCCCGAGUUCGCCGUCUAUUAAGACUAGGUCGACGACUAUUACCUCCGCCGGAGCCAUAACGGAGAGAGUUAGAUUCUUUGUUAGCUUCGCAGGUGAGUUAAGAACAAAGAAAUUGACUUUGUUGCUUGCUACUUUUUGUCCGAUCAGAUGGGAAGUGGAAACCACGCGCUGUAUUAGGCGAAUGGGUGAGAUGACGUGGCGUAACGAUCUUUAGUUACGAUACAAGUGUACAAAGAGGGCGGCUUGUACAAAGUCGUAACCAGAAACGGCACCGUUUUACCGAUUCAAGAGAUUAGCCAUUCUAUCGAGUCUUCUUUCUAGAUGUACAAGUCACUCCUCUUGAAGCUGUAAAAAAUCUAAGAUAAUUAAGCCAGAAGGUGUAGUAGCUAGAAGAAUAUCAUCUAUAUAUGUAGACUAGGAAUGUUAUAACGGGCCUGUCUGGCCCGUUUGCGUCUGCGUCCGUUUAUGUCCGUGUCCGUUUAAUAGUUGUCCGUUUAAAGUCCGAUUAAACCAAAUCCGUUUAGAGUCCAUUUAUGUAAAGCCCGUUUAGCUUUAAGCCUGUUCCAAGUCCGUUUAGAGCCUGAUUACUUUAAAAAACAUUGAAUAUGAUCUGUUUAUAUCAUGAAUUAAUUAUCUGUUCCUUCAAUCAAAUUUGUCAAAUAAAAUACAACUCCAUAAUCAAAACACCGAACAUUACAUUGUUUUGUUUCAGCUAAAACUUUAAAGUUUACAAAUCACAAAGAGUUCACAUUAACAAAAACUAGAAACAACAAUCAUCAAAUGGUUUUAGAAAGAGAGUCAAAACAUAACUAGAAUAGAAAGUUCAUAAACAUAUAUAUGUUCUAAUCAAUCUUGCACAAUGCCUUCGGAAAAUCCCUGUCCAGCUAGAAAAAGGAAUAUGUAACAAUGAUUUUUAGAGGCCAGAAAAUAACAUAUUCAGCAACUGUUUCAGCGUACAGACAUCCUUCUGGUCAGAUAUACUGAUAAGAUACCAGAAACUUACUAAGCUAAACAAACGCACAUUCUCUUAACCAUGUCUACAAGUUGUAACUAACACGUUAAACAAACACACAUGAAACCACAUUCUCUUAACCAUUUACACGGGACACAAGAACAAAAUAUGCUAAGCUAAACAAGACCUUUCUAUAAUCAAAUCAUAACCUAUCACUAUAUUUUCAUCAAACAUAUUAUAAACUGAUAUAAGACAUAACCGAAACACUACAUACCAGUGUUUCAUCAAACACUUCAAUCUUUUGAUGUUGAAGACUCCACUCUUGAACUACUUUUUUUUUUUUAACAUCUUCAUUUUCAUCAAAAGGUCUUCAAUUGUUCCUACAAAAUAUAAUAUGAAUCAGUUACAAAUAAAUAGUCAUAAAUGGUAUGUUUAAGCUUUUUUACCUUGGUAUUCAGCAAAACCACGCAGCAAAUUCCUAGUGCAAAGAAGAGCUUGGACAUUUUUAGGUAAGAGACGGUUUCGGUAAGGAGUUAAAACUCAGGAACCAACGCUAAAGGCAGACUCAGAAGCUACUGUGGUGAUCGGAAUGAUGAGGAUGUCUCUGGCCAUAGAUGAUAAAUCCCCAAAUCGAUAUUGGUUCUCUUUCCAAUAACUCAAGACAUCCAAAUUUAAGUUAGCCUUCCUAUUUAGCCUGGGUUCUUCCAAAUAGAUAUCCAAAUGUGUCUUUGGAUCACCAGCUCCACCUCCAAUGCUCUUUUCCAACUCAAAAAAAUCUUUCAUUAUGAACAUUUAUACCAAAAUUAUAAAUUUCAAUAUAAUGAAUGACUGAGAUUACCUAAAAUUAUACUAAGUUACUUACAUUAUAGUAAUCAUCUUCAAGUGGAGAUUCUGUGACAAUCUCAUGUGGAGUUGGCGCAAGUGAACCACCUGAAGAACUUGUUUGAGACAGUUUUUGAUACUCUUUAUAGAGAUCACUCAAACUUUUCUUGAGUUUUUCAGUCUCCAAGCUUGUAGUAGUCAGAUCCACUUCUUUAUAAGCUGCUUCCAGCAUAUUAAUCUUUAUUCUUGGAUCUAGAGCUGCUCUCAUAGCCAAGAUUACACAAUAAUCCUUCCAGUAUUUAUCAAACUUAACUUGCAUGUCUCUGGCCAUUUCUCUCACCCCAAGAUCAUCACAAACGGAAUAUUUCUCCAAUAACAAUGGUAUAUUCCAUACUUGUGUGAAGUAGAUAUUAGAAGUGUGAUACUAUGAACCUGAAAAAUCGGUUGUUAUAACACUGAAUGGCUUCAACAAUUCACAGAUCUUUGCUCCACGGUCCACUCAUCUACUGAAGGAUUGGUCUUAUAGUUCGGAUCAUAAGACUCCAUGCUAGCAAAUGCCUCCUUAGACUUGAGAGCUCUAACCAGCAUCUCGUAUGUAGAGUUUCAGUGAGUAGGAACAUCAAGUGACAAUCCAGCUCCACCUCUAAUUCCUACUCUCUCUACACAUACUGCAAAUGCUUCUUUCCUUUGUGGCGAUGCUUUCACAUAUCUCACACUCUCUCUAAUAUUAUGCGGAAGACUAUUUACUAACUCCAAGCCAUUUUAACUAUGAGGUUCAAAAUGUGAGCAGAACAUCUCACAUGUAGGUGAUUACCAUCACACAACAGACCUCCAUCGCUUUUACUUGUCAUAUGUAGCUUUCCCUUGAGAAUUCUCAACAUACUAUUGUUGUUUGUGGCAUUGUCUGGAGUAAUGGAGAAAAUCUUCUUCUCUAUACUCCCAUUCCUUCAAAGAUUCGAAGAUCUUAGUAGCAAUCAGAUCACCUGUAUGUGGAGACUUCAUCUCACAAAAUUCUAAAAUCUUGUUGUUUAAUCUCCAACCAUCAUCAAUGUAGUGGCCAGUUAAACAGAUAUAUCCCAUAUUCUGAGGCCUAGCUACCCAUAAAUCAAUGGUGAGAAAAAUCAUGCCAUGAUGCUUCAUAAACAGCCCUUUCAACUUCUCUUUCUCUAUUUCAUAUCUCCUAUAGACAUCAAAGGUAGCAGUCUGUCUACUGAUGUGUUGACAAUCAGGAUUUAAAUACCUAUCUCUUGUAGACUAUGUUGACCAACAUCAUUCCCAUGUAUGAUUUUCAAACAGGAAAUUGGGUCUCUGGAUAUCAAGCUGCUUCAGGUAGCUUCCAUUAUGUUGUUGAGUAAAUUCACCAGCUCUUGAUGAGAUCCUAACUUAAUGCAUAUUUGUACAGUGCUUUUUCUAUCCACCCCUAUCUUCCAAUGGCUGCUAUAUCCUUUGGUAAUGGACGAUUUGAGUUAAAAGGUACAUUUUGCUUCUAAUCUCAAUUGGCUACAUACAUUGUGAAAUAAUUUUAAAUGAAAUCUUUCUAUUAUUCUCUUUGUGGUCAUACAGCUGAUGAAAAUUGUGUAUUUCUCUGUAAUUUCUACGUGAUGUCCGAAGAUAACACUUGUGAUGAACAUAACAAUUUGGAGUUGCCAAUGCAAGCAGUUAUCGUCACCAUAAUGUCACUGAAGAGGAAGAAAACGCCUAAAAUAUUUUAUUAUCUUAACACCAUUGAGCUCUUGUUUAAAAAGAAUCAAAAAACAAUCCUUUAUUUGUAUGAUCCAACCAAAAAAAGAUGUAGCACACAUACACAUUUUAAUGUGAUCUCCAUACUUCAAUCUUUAACAUGACAUAAAAAUCUUUAGUUUUGGGAUCCAAUGAACUCUAAAAUCAAGCUCCUGAUGUUUUUAGAACAACUAGAUAAACUUUGUACUAAAUCACUCCUCUUCAUUGAAAUUCCUCUUGUUUUCACAGAUCUAUGGGUCUGACUGGUAAAUAUUGUAGCUUUAAUUUUUUUUGAUGUAGAAUUAUAGCUGUAAAUUUCUUGAUGUAGCUUUAAAUGUUAUUACUCUAGAAUUUUGGCGGUAAGAUCUCAGCGGUAGAUUAUUUAAAAGGCAUGAUUGGUAUCCAUCUGCAGCAGAUUAAUAUUACAUACACGUGUUUAACACCAUAUUUAAAAUGCGAAAUUAAAUUUUCUUUUAUUGAAUAAAUAAAAAAUAAUACCAGUUUGUAAUCAAAUUAAUGCCACUAGAAAAACUAAUAAUCUUUUAAAAAUUUCAUAACAUAAAUUAAUCAUUUAGAAUUUUGUAAUAAUUUUUUUGCAUAAUAAAAACAGUCUGCAAUUAAACUAAUGCCACUGGAAAGACUAGUUUAUACUCAAAUUAGUAUGACUUUGAUUACUAUGAUGACUGUAAUCAAACUAAUAAGACAUGAAAAACUAAGAUGACUUUAUUCUUUCAAUAAAAGUUAAAUGAAAUGUUAUACUUUUUUUGGAAAGCUAGAAAAAUUGAGUUGUAGACAUUUGGAUUUCUAAAGCACUUCUACAGACGUUCUUUUGAUAAAUCUGUAGACAUAAAAAUGUUAAUAAAGUCAUUGAAUUAUCUAAGAAGUCAUUAUAUUUUUGUUGAAUAGUUAUCUAAGAAGUCAUUAUAUUUUUCUUGUUUUUUCAAGCUAUUCCAAUCCUUUAGAUUAUUAAUAUUUACAAAUUUUGGACAAUUAUAGUUUUCUACAAUAACAAAACGAAUAUUUUCUAUCCUAUAAAAAAACCAACAACGUAAAGUAAAUUAUAAUAUUUGUAGCCAUUUAAGUCUCACAUGAGGAAAACAAUUUAAUAACAAGUAUUGCAAAACAUGUUACAUCAUUAUCAUCACUUUUAAGUGUAGAAGUACGAAGCGUAUAUAAUAUUCAUCUACUCAGUAAAUUUAACUAUUAGCAAUAUCUUCUUCUUAAACAUACACUGUGGUAGUCGGAAUCCACUAAAUUCUCAAACGAUUUUGAUUUACCAACAUAUUGGUUCGCUUGUCCUCUCUUAAACACUUGACUCGUUUAGUUCAUCUUUAAAAAACUAUCUAGCAAUUACAUAUAUGUAAUUUUCUGUUUUUGUUAAAUUUAAGCUAAAUAUUUUCAGUCUUUUUUACUAUAUCAUCACCACAUUUAUUCUCACAAAAAUAUAUGACAUGAUUUAGUGAAAAAUGUGGCAUGGCAUUCUUUUGAUAUGACAAUCUUAAUAAUAAAGUUUUUGAUUUUGUGUUAAGAUUCCUAAAAUGAAAAGAAAAAUAACAACUGAGUAUAUACCAUAUAUGUAAAUUAUCCACAUUAUUGUUAAAAAAAAUUAAAUAAGAUAAAUACAAGUAUAAGAAAAAUUUCACAUCAACUUAGUAUAAAAAGAUAGCCAAUUUUGUAAAUAAUUAUAUUUUUGUCAAAACUAAAUGUACUUGUAUCUUAACAAAUACAAAAGUAAGAUAAGUUUACUUAAAAUUCAAAAUUUUAUUGAGAGUUAGAUAUCCUAAAACAUUUUUAAAUCCAUAAAUCAUCAUAAAUAGGGGAGUAACCAAGUUUUUAGUUGUGGAAUUUAUUUGAAUUUAAACACGGUACAAUACAUUAAACAUUGGUUUGUUUAAAACAUCAUAAAAUAAAAAAAUAAAUAACAAAUAAUUAUAUUAAUUUUUUAUAUUUUAUAAUCGAUAGAUCAAAACUUUAAAUACUAAUAAAUUCAAAUUUUUAUUUUAUAUAAAACAAUGAAACAAAACACAAGAUUUUCCUUAAUUGAGUGAACAUUUCAUAAAAUGUGUUGCAUACCUUCAUGAUAAGAGAUUUUGGACGCAAUAUUAGCCCUUGAAGAAUUUGAAGCCAAUGCCAUAGGCAUUCCACGACCUUUCAAAUGUCGAAUCAACCUGUUUGCACCUGGAAGGGCCUUGGUCUUGUCCAUCCUACAAACACACAACACAAGAAAUUCAAGAACCAUAGAAACAAAAGAAGAUGACAAACAUCCGAAUUGUUUUCAUCAACACCACAGGGAAGUUCAUAAUCUUCAACAAUGGUAGUCGCUGCUUCUAAGGGACUCUUCCCUACUAUCUUAAGUGCUUGCUCUUCCAUUCCAUUGCCUUCCAUAUUUACACAGAUACUUCCUCAAUAUGUUAUAUGUCACCCUCAACACCAUCUACAAGAAAAAGACAUCUGUUGAAUACUGAAGUUACGAUAAUAAAACUGUAACAAAGUAUUCAUGUAUACAUGUGUUGAUUAAGGUGCCAUCGAGAUCAAUAAGAACACAAGACGAGAUCAUACACAAGUAACAGAGCAGAAAUAAAGAGGAAGGGUUGAUAAGUUGCACACGUGAGCUAAGAGAUUCCUGGUUCGCAACCCUGGUCGGCUGGUCCUACCGAACAUUUGAAUUAGAUACUGCUGUGUCCUGACCGGGUUUCUGAUCCUACUGACCGGUACGAAUUGUACGAACGACCGAGUGAACAAAAUCAAACGAUUCAAGUAAAGGAGAUUCGGUUAAAACUGAAUCAACCGGGUUGAUUCAGCCACCGCGUCCUCUCUCUUUUUAAUUAGUCUCAAGUCUUAACAUGAACAAUUCUUUAUCAAACCCCACCACGUUUACUUUUUUUUUUACAUGAAAAAGUUUUGUCUAUCAGACCAACAUGAUCCUUAGAUUGCAUUAUGAAUGUUGAAGUUAGCAGAGAAAAUUCAAUAUCUUGGUCUCUUCUUCUUUCUUCACAAGCACACACUCGUUUUACUGCUUGAGAAGGACCUUUUUAGUUCUUAGACAGAGUCAACUCCUUCGCCUUGUUGCUGUGCAAGAUAUCUCUCUCGUCGCUCCUUCUGUGUUUUUUUCAGAGAGGAGAGACCACAACGACAACGUCAGAAUUUCAAAAUCAUCUAAUGGGAAGAGAUAAUAGAGAGAAAGAUUCUUAAGAUGUAGCAAAUGUGACUCACCCAUUCAUCAAUCACAAGUCCUUCUCCAAUCAUCUUUGGACCUGUUUCCUCUGGUGGUUUCUUUCUUGCCUCCACUGCUGCAUCUGCUUCAGCUAGCUGACGCUUUAGUUUCUCCAGUGCCUUUUUUCAUUCAUCACAUAUGUAAUUAGAGAGAGAGACCAUAAGAGUUUAGUAUGUUACAGAAUCAUUUACAUAGGCUUAUACUCACAGGGUUGGGACGUUCUGGAUCCAGGAAGAUAACACGCAAUAUUUGCUCCUUAGACACAUCUUCCUUCUGCUCAUCAAACUGUAGAAAACAGAAACAAAAACAAUCGAUAUUUCUUUAAAAUGGAAAGAAGAUUCAAUGGAGCGUCAGAAAUGUAAGAAGAUGACAAACAACAGCACACAUGCUUGCUUUAAAUGUCUGCCUAGAGAAAGUAACUGGAAAUCUCUACUUGUUAUGUUUUAGAGAUGAACUAAAAUAUCAUAUGUUCCACUUGGAUACUGACAUAUUGUUACUAACGUUUUCUAAUUUUCAAAGAAGAGCUCAAAAGAUCAACAUACCAGCUCAGGUACAUAGUCCAUAGGACCUUUAACCUUCAGGCUCAUGAUUUUAAACUUAACCCUGCUCCUUUGGUCCAUUGGCUUCUCGUUAUUCUCAGGAGGCUCAACAAAUUUGAACACUGUACAUUUCAACAAAAGAGAAAGAAAAAAUAGUCACAACACAUGCACAGCCUACUAUACCCAAUUCUCUAAUAGGGAUAAGUGUAGAGAAUAAGAAGAAGAAUAAUUACCAGUGGCGAUAAUAGUCUCUCCAGGGGCAAGAAUAGCACCCGGCGGACGCAUGAAGCAACUCUUCGGCUCAGUUGUUUGAAACUGGAAAAAGAGCAACAAGGGUAAAGCACAUUGAAAACGCAAACACUCUGGUAAUCAAAAACGCUUAGAUACUUAAAAAAAAACAUACCUUAAACGCUACAUGUGAUUUGCUGGUGUUUUUAAUCUUAAUAGCGCUCCUCACUUGCUUCCCAGGCUCAUCUUCGCACACCAAAAGUAAACAACAAUCUGGUUCAGUACUCUUCAAUUCAAUGAAGAGGAAAACAACUGACGACUCUUUAACUUGUAAACACACAAACAAUAAAGCAAAGAAUCAAUCACUUUGAUAUAACCGCAAAAUGUCAUCUUUUACAGUGUUACUUGGGGAUCAAUUUAAAAAUCAAAACUUUUGAUUCAAAACGGCACCGUAUCAAGUCUGCUACCUCUAAGAUUAGUUCAUUCAAGUAAACUCAGGUCAACGUCUAGUCUCAAAAGUUCAGAGCCAUGCGACAAGAAAAUGAACAAAUCCAAAGUUACAAACUUUUUUCUUUCUCCGUGAAGUCAAUAAUAUCAUAUUUAUUUAUUUACAAAUCGAUCCAAAAUUAGAUAGUGAGAUUUAAAAUCAGAUCGAAGUUUUAAUUAGCUUCAGAAACAACCCCCCAGAUUUCCGAUUAAGAUGAGAUUCGAACAAACUCACAAGGGAAAUAGAGCUUCUCCGACGGAUCAAGCUUCAAUCUCCGUUUUACAGGCAGAAGCGACUUAGCGACGGACGAUACUGAAGGCGAAGGAGUCGGGUGCUGGUUUUGACCCGAUCCAUCACCGUGAGGUCCGUUGUAGCCAUGAUGGUGGUGGUGGUGAUGGUGAUUAUGGAGAUGAGAAGAUGCAGAAGAAGAGGAAGAAGCUCCCGACGGAAACGGUGACGUGGCGGCACUAGAGGCGUUUCCGUGAGAGUUUCGAAACGGGAUUUUGAAGAUACCCCAGCCUCGGCCGUCAGAUGCUGGUUUCUCCUCCGUCGUCAUAGUCAUCGGAGGUCGAUUCGCGGCGAAGAAACGGCGAGAGAGAGAGAGAGAGAGAGAGAGUUGACUCGUGAGGAGAGAGAGAGAUGUGUUGUUUGUUUGUUGGAGAAGAGAGAGAGAGAGAGAGAGAGAGAGAGAGAGAGAGAGAGAUCGGACGCGAGAGGGAGAGAGAGAAAGUGGAUUUAACUAAUUGACUUCACGUCCGGAUUUAAUUGAUUUAACGAGUCAUAGUUAUGUGUUGUGUGCUUGAUUAGUGCGGAAGAACAUCGAAUCGGAAAGUGGAGGUCGACUAAAAUAAAAAGCGAUCGAGACAUAACCUCCCAACGACAGCGUAUUCGAUUCUCUUACAAAGUCGUUUUUUUUUUUAAGUCAAAACAAAGUCAUUUUUAAAUGUUCGCUUUCAAGUCUUUUUCGUGGUUUCCAGAUAAAUUCAAACUUUUUCGUUUUUUUAUGUAUUUUUUUUUUAGAUCCUGAUAAUAUUCAGCGGUGUUGAAUACGUUUGAUAUGCACAGUACAAAUAUCGUACGGGUGGGGGGAUUGAUGACAUACUUUUAUCUUAUUAGUCAAUCUAACUCAUAUAUCGGGGUAGGAUUUGUUGUUUUUUCUUGAAAUCUAUAGCUUUCGAUAUGGGACUCAAACUCAUUGUUCUUGAGGCAACGUCAAAAACUUUCUUAAUGCAUACAUACAUGUUAGUCUUUAACCUCGGGUUAAGCCAAGGUCCGGGAAUGGGAUGUUGAUCAGUAGUGGUCAGGGUCGGAUUCUAGAGAAUUUACGGUCAGUGCAUAAUGUAUUUUACUCCGUGUGUUUCUAAAUAGAAAUAGACGAUGUUUUAGGAAGUUUUUGAUGUUUCAAAAUAGAUUUAAAAUAGAUGAUGUUUUUCUAUAUCAAUGCACUUUUUAACUUUAUCAAAAACUGCGUAACCAAUGAUGUUUUAUAGUUUCUUCUGUGAUUGGUUGAAUAGUUUUAAAUUUAUAUUUUAAUAAUAAUAUUUUUAAGAUAAAAAAUAAGUUUUUCAUAAUUGUGCACACUCCUAAAACUUCAUGUAUUUUGAAGAGAAAUUUCCUAUGAUAACUUUUUUAAGUUUUUGUCACAAAAAUAGUAAUCAAUGAAGAAAAUGACCAAAAUAAGUUUUAUUAAAAGGUAAAAAUGUAUUUUUACCAUAGGGUUAACUAAUCUAGACGUAGGAUUUAGAGUUAAAAGGUAGGGUUUUGGAGAUAGGGUUUCAAAGUUAAAAAAAAAAAUUAAAAUUAAAAUUUUCAAAAUAAAAAAAAAACUAUUUUGGUCAAUAUUUUUAGUGCUAUUUUGUGGCAAAAACUUAAAAAUGGCUAUUUGAGAGAAUUGCUCUAUUUUGAAACAAAGGAAAUAUUAUAUAUUGAUCCCGCGGGACUCUAGCAAGAGAGAAAAAUGAGUCUCAACAAUUGUUUUGUAAGUAAGGCUAAACUGAAAUUGUGGAAAUAUCUGAAACUCAAUCUCAUGAAAUCUUGGAGACACACAUUAUAUCUCAUUCGAUCCAAUAAAGGCUUCUGUUAUUUUAUUUUAAACUCUACCGUAAGUUUGAAAUCACAUUCAUUAGUUUAGGCUCCUAAAUACAUCCACAUACCUCAUUACUAUCGUAAUGGAAACACUCUUUUAUGUCUUGUUUCCUAACAUAAUCACUUUAUUUCCAAAACUAUGAAUUCUUUUGCUGCAUUUAAUCAUUGUCCCGCAGAAUUUUCGUAGAUCUAAUAUAUUUUAAUAUCUCUCUAUAUUGUAUUUCCCGCAGUGCAUAAUGUAUUUUACUCCCUAUGUUUCUAAAUAGAUGAUGUUUUAUGAAGUUUUUGAUGUUUCAAAAUAGAUGAUAUUUUCAUAUAUCAAUGCACUUUUUAACUUUAUCAAAAACUGUGUAACCAAUGAUGUUUUAUAGUCUCUUCUGUGAUUGGUUGAAUAAUUUUUAAUUUAUAUUUUAAUAAUAUUUUUAAGAUAAAAAUAAAUUUUUAAUAAUUGUGCGCAAUCCUAAAACUUCAUGUAUUUUGAAACAGAGUGAAUAUUAUAUAUUGAUCCCGCAGGACUCUAGCAAGUAGGAACGAGGGAAAAUGAGUCUCAACAAUUGUUUUAUAACUAAGGCUAAACUGAAAUUGUAGAAAUAUCUGAAACUCAAUCUCAUGAAAUCUUCGAGACACACAUUUUAUCUCAUUCGAUCCAAUAAAGGUUUCUGUUAUUUUAUUCUAAACCUACCAUAAGUUUGAAAUCACAUUCAUUAGUUUAGGCUCCUAAAUACAUCCACAUACCUCAUUACUAUCGUAAUGGAAACACUCUUUUAUGUCUUGUUUCCUAACAUAAUCACUUUAUUUCCAAAACUAUGAAUUAUUUUGCUGCAUUUAAUCGUUGUCCCGCAGUAUUUCCGUAGAUCUAAUAUAUUUUAAAAUAUCUCUAUAUUGUAUUUCUCGCAGUCGUUGUCCCGCAGUGCAUAAUGUAUUUUACUCCCUAUGUUUCUAAAUAGAUGAUGUUUUAGGAAGUUUUUGAUGUUUCAAAAUAGAUGAUGUUUUCAUAUAUCAAUGCACUUUUUAACUUUAUCAAAAACUGUGUAACCAAUGAUGUUUUAUAUUUUAUUUUAUGAUUGGUUGAAUAAUUUUUAGUUUAUAUUUUAAUAAUAUUUUUAAGGUAAAAAAUAAGUUUUUAAUAAUUGUGCACAAUCCUAAAAUAUCAUGUAUUUUGGAACAGAGUGAAUUUUAUAUAUUGAUCCCGCAUGACUCUAGCAAGUAGGAACGAGGGAAAAUGAGUCUCAACAAUUGUUUUGUAACUAAGGCUAAACUGAAAUUGUGGAAAUAUCUGAAACUCAAUCUCAUGAAAUCUUCGAGACACACAUUUUAUCUCAUUCGAUCCAACAAAAGCUUCUGUUAUUUUAUUUUAAACCUACCAUAAGUUUGAAAUUACAUUCAUUAGUUUAGGCUCCUAAAUACAUCCACAUACCUCAUUACUAUCGUAAUGGAAACACUCUUUUAUGUCUUGUUUCCUAACAUAAUCACUUUAUUUCCAAAACUAUGUAUUCUUUUGCUGCAUUUAAUCGUUGUCCCGCAGUAUUUCCGUAGAUCUAAUAUUUUUUUUUAAAUCUCUCAAUAUUGUAUUUCUCGCAGUUAUUGUCCUGUAGUGCAUAAUGUAUUUUACUCCCUCUGUUUCUAAAUAGAUGAUGUUUUAUGAAGUUUUUGAUGUUUCAAAAUAGAUGAUGUUUUCAUAUAUCAAUGCACUUUUUAACUCUAUCAAAAACUGUGUAACCAAUGAUGUUUUAUAUUCUCUUUUGUGAUUGGCUGAAUAAUUUUUAAUUUAUAUUUUAAUAAUAUUUUUAAGAUAAAAAAUAAGUUUUUAAUAAUUGUGCACAAUCCUAAAACAUCAUGUAUUUUGAAAUAGAGUGAAUAUUAUAUAUUGAUCCCGCAGGACUCUAUCAAGUAGGAACGAGGGAAAAUGAGUCUCAACAUUGUUUUGUAACUAAGGCUAAACUGAAAUUGUGGAAAUAUCUGAAACUCAAUCUCAUGAAAUCUUCGAGACACACAUUUUAUCUCAUUCGAUCCAAUAAAGGCUUAUGUUAUUUUAUUUUAAACCUACCAUAAGUUUGAAAUCACAUUCAUUAGUUUAGGCUCCUAAAUACAUCGACAUACCUCAUUACUAUCAUAAUGGAAACACUCUUUUAUGUCUUGUUUCCUAACAUUAUCACUUUAUUUCCAAAACUAUGAAUUCUUUUGCUGCAUUUAAUCAUUGUCCCACAGUAUUUCCGUAGAUCUAAUGUAUUUUAAAAUCUCUCUAUAUUGUAUUUCCCGCAGUCGUUGUCCCGCAGUGCAUAAUGAAUUUAACUCCCUUUGUUUCUAAAUAGAUGGUGUUUUAGGAAGUUUUUUGAUGUUUCAAAAUAGAUUAUGUUUUCACGUAUCAAUGCACUUUUUAACUUUAUCAAAAAUUGUGUAACCAGUGAUGUUUUAUAGUCGCUUUUGUGAUAGGUUAAAUAAUUUUUAAUUUAUAUUUUAAUAAUAUUUUAAAGAUAAAAAUAAAUUUUUAAUAAUUGUGCACAAUCCUAAAACUUCAUGUGUUUUGAAACAAAUAGAAUAUUAUAUAUUGAUCCUGCAGGAUUCUAGCAAGUAGGAACGAGCGAAAAUGAUUCUCAACAAUUGUUUUGUAACUAAGGCUAAACUGAAAUUGUGGAAAUAUCUGAAACUCAAUCUCAUGAAAUCUUGGAGACACACAUUUUAUCUCAUUUGAUCCAAUAAAGCCUUCUGUUAUUUUAUUUUAAACUCUACCAUAAGUUUGAAAUCAUAUUCAUUAGUUUACUUCAAUAACUUUUUGUGUUAGUAGUAAACACAGCAUCACGUAUAGGAAUAUUGUUUGCGCCACAUAUUUUAUUUGUUUUCUCCAUUAGAUAAGAAUCUUGUUGACUAUUAGUUAACAUGCCCAUUAAUUUGAUCGUAUACAAAGAAAGAACUUUCAUUUUUCUUGAAAUUGUUUUUUUUUUUUCAUUUUCGAACCAUGUAUCUUUCUCCGAUAAUCCUAAAUACACCCACGUACCUCAUUACUAUCGUAAUGCAAACACACUUUUAUGUCUUAUUUCCUAACAUAGUCACUUUAUUUCCAAAACUAUGAAUUUUUUUGCUGCAUUUAGUCGUUGUCCCGCAAUAUUUUCGUACAUCUGUAUAUUUUAAAAUCUCUAUUUUGCUUGACUUUCACUUCAUACUAGAUAGUAAUCCGCGCAAGCGCGGAUAAGAUAUCUAUAUUAAUAUUGAAAUUACAUAUUAUGAUUAUGUAUAACAUAAGGUAUACUUUAAAUAAUAGUUAGAUAGAACUAAAUGUAUGAUUGUUCUCAGGGACGAAGCCAAAGACUUUUUAUAAUAGAUUUACUAAUAUUAAAAUUUAAUAUAUGGUGUUUACAAGUUUAAGAAGAAGUUUUGGAAAAUAUUUUUUUUUAUAUUUCGCCUAUCACGUUGUAGUAGUUAUGGACUUACGUGUUUAACAAAUAAAAUCGAAAAAAAUGGAUCAAUAACAUAUUAUAAGCAAAACAAUAACCGUGUGAAAUAAAAUAAUUAUAGCUCCUUUAAAUUCAGAAAACAUAAUAGCAUAAUAAAAAAAAUUGAAGGUUAUUUGACCCUCUAAAUUGUAAAGGUUGCUCCAGAUGCGACCAGCACGUGAGACUUACUGGUGGUUCAUUCCUGGAAGUUUCUUCUCAUCUUCAAGGUCGUCUAAUGCAGAGCUCUCAUGGCGGCAAAGGUGGUGACACUCGCAUGCUUAUAUUGCUUGCUCGAUAGAAUAAUACACUAGCCGAGACGAUUUACAGUUAUUCAGUCUCCUCCAAACAGAGAUCACCUCAUCGAGCUGUAACAAAACCGAGUACGACAUAUUUAUCUAGAAAUAAAUUUUCAACGUCCUCUUUUAGCAAUGAGAGACGGUUCUCAAGAACGUGAGUGGUCUGCUAAAUGCAUGAAAGCAGGUAUGGAGAAAAGGGUUAUUUCAUUAACACUUAGCAUCGCACUAAAGUUUCAUCGUUUUGUCGUCUCUACGGAUCUGUCGACUUAAUGGCGAUAGAUCAGAUGGGUUACUGUUUUUAACAUAAACGUAUAGAGAAAUAAGGAAUUUUUAUUGAUGCUAUGAUUAUAUUGAGAGGAUUGAUAAAUCACGUAAUCGAACUUGAAACUGAAGGUUAUCACGUAAAAAUGUUCGUUGAGAAAAGUAUAGAUGGUAUAAAGUUCUUUUAAAAAAAUAUUAGUGUGAACGCAUUAAAUUCACAGUUUAGUUUUGGUGAGAAACGUUCUAUGUGUGACACCUAAGCGUUUUACUAAAUAAAAGUUUCUCGUGAAGCUACGUCACCACGUCACAUAUUUUGCCAAUAAACUUUUUAGGUAAGUUUUAAAAGUGUUUUUCCUUUAAUAUAUAGGGGAUAAGAAAAUACUAUCGUCAACAAAAAAGAUCCAAAAUUUUUCUCUAGCAAUACGAAACACAAGGAUACAAUUAUCUUUUUCACUUUUGUAAACAACGAGAUUAGUACAUUAAUAAACAGAAAAAGAAAAGAUAAGAAGUUUCCUUGUCUUAAGCUCCUAUAGGAAUAGUAGGCCCUCUUGGUUCUCCUUUAAAAUAAAUUUGCUAAUUGAUCGAUGUGAUGCAACUCAUCUAUCAAAAGGUUACUCCACAGUUAAAUCUAUUUUUUUAGAUGAUGUAGAAGUAGAACUUAAUUAAGAAUGUGCUUAUACUUGGAUAUUUGCUGCUUAUGUCGAAGAUUGAGACUGAGACUGCCUCAGGAUAUGUUAGAAGUGUAAAGUUUCAAUUUUUAUAAAAAUUUACUUUAGCAAACAAAAUACUUAUAUAUGUAUAUCUUUUAAACCAAAUUUAGUUUUAUAUUUUUAACUAAACUUAUUGCAAAGAAUUUCUCAGAAAAAUAUUUUGCAAUAUAAUUUAUAUAUAGUUAAAAAAGAAAAUUGUUAAAUGGUCCCAAAUUUUUAAGUAAGAAACUUCUUCUCGCAGCCAGGGGCGGACGCAAGUAAGAGAUGGGUGGGGCAUGUGCUCCAUGCUAUUUUGUCUUUUUCCUUAAGAAAUUAAUACUAAGUUUACAUUAGUGCUUUUAAUUUGAAUAUUCUUUACUACAUGGUCUCAUAUAAUAUAAAUUUGCCCCAUACUGUAUAAGGUUUUGGAUCCGCCCCUGCUCGCAGCUUAUUUUGAUUGUCGGAUUGUUCUUCUCCAGCGAUCAGCACAUGCUCGUAGCCUCGUACCAAACAUAAUCCCAUCAUUUGAUUUCUUUUUCGUGUUCUAAUCACGAGCGUAAUGCUUGCUUAUCAAGUCUUUUGCUAAUUUUUUUUUAUUUUUUUACGGUAUUACGAAAAAUAUUAUUUAAAAAUAUAUAUAUAUAUUUAAACAUUAUAUAGAUGAUUUGUUUUUAACUACGUCAACUUAAACUGUCUUAUGAAAUCCAACGGUAUUGUUUACAACGAAAAUCUCUUAUUAUAUUUUUUUUAUUAAUCUGCAUAUUUCGUUCUUUUUGAGAUUCUAAAUACAAACUUCCUUAUUUUUCUUUGUAUCUGAAAUACAAACUUCCUUAUGUAACAACCUUUUAUGAACUAUAUGGACUAAAGGACCUUCCACCGCUAAUUUCUUGUCUAUCUAAUGAUUUAAGAUGACCUUCAGGUGACGAUACUAAGUGGCAGUGUUCAUAGUGACACCAAACUCUCUUUGCUUUUCUUUCUCUAUGAGUUGGAAGAUGGGGAUAACACUUAUCCGUUAUGUUUGUUAGCCUGCGCUGGAAUAUCUUAGUGGGGAGGUAACCUAAUUUAGUAUUCAGAUCACACAAAUCUGAUCAAAUGUACAAGGAAAUGGUUAAAAUAUGUGUGGUUUGAAAGUGAAUUGCUCGGAAUUUGUUAAGGUUAUCAGUCAUGGAGAAGAACACCGAGAUAUAAGAGCUUUGAUAUAUGAUAUCAGAAGACUAAAGUGGAUGUAUGCUGCUUUGAUAAUGCUAGCUAGGAGCUUUAAUGUGUUACCAGAGCUUCUUUGGGACAUGUCCCUCGAAAGCUGAUAUUAUUCCCUGAUGUUUAAUUUAGCAAAAUUGCGUGUCUGAUGUUGAUUAUGUUUCCUCUCACGUAUCUUUCUUUUGGAUGUAUCAACAUGCAUUUGCAUAGUUUCUCGAAUUGAUCAAUGAAAUAGUUAUUUCAGAAAAUCUUUCGGAUCAAAUCUAAGGUAUGUAAUAUGAUAGCAAUUCGUAAUAUGAGAGUAGAAUGUCAAAUACAAACUCAUAUAUAAUUCAUGAAUAUGGAUUGCAAUAAGUGUAUAAUCAACUCCAAAAUCACGGAGGCUCUCGUAUCAUUAAGUUAAUUAAAAUACGUCAUAUACGAAUGAUUUUGUAUUUUAGCAGUAUUUAUAUUUAGCGCUGAGAUUUUUGAUCAACCAAUCGUGAAAAUAUUAAAUGCACACGAAUCUUUUCAUUUUCCAGAGAGUUCUCGAGUGUGUUGCUGUCGUUCCUCCUGAUUUCAUAUGAUAAUUUUUAAUAUUGUCAAGGUAGCCAUCAACUCUGUUAUCAAACAAGUCCCAAAACUGACCAAUUUGUUAUAUUAAAAAACAAAGUAAUAGGUAAUAUAAGACGUAUAUUAGAUAUAAUAUGCAUGGAAGUCUUACGUAAGGGCCUUAAGUGGCCACAUCAACUGCACAACCAUUACGAUUUCGUAUCAAAUGGAUCUCGUUUUUAUGUAUCAAAUGGAUCUCCUUUUUUAUGUAUAGAUAAAUGGAUCUUUUGGUCAUUGUCUGCUGACUCUGCUCCUUUAGACUGUUUAGGGUUCAAAGUCUUUUGUUUAAUACGAACCAAUUUUUAAAAAAAAUUAAGAAAACGAAUCUAUACGGGAACAAUCUAUAUAUAGUUUAUUAUUCUAUCUCUUACAUAAGUAUAUAUCAGUUGAGUUACUCCAUAAACAUAUGGCUCUUGAUUGCUAUUGCCUAUACUCGAAAUUGACGGCGAGUACGUUUUUUUUUUUUUUAUAACUUUGGUGUGAUACUAAAAGCUGUUUAGUUACAGUGACUAAUCACCAAGAGACCCAUAGAAAUCCAGGUUUUCUUAUCACUUAAAAUGUCUGUGAAUGACCAAAUGGAAUCGAACCCAGGACGGAACCUCCAGCUGGAACUUCUUUACCACUAGGCCAAGACCACUUGAUUAACGGUGAAUACGUUUGUGUUUGGAUAAAUCGCAAGAAAGACAAUACCACAUUAUAACCGAAAUUGUUUUCUGAAAUUUAUGGUGCUUAAAAUGUGUUUAAGAAUGUGUUUUCAUAUAACCGAAUAAAGUUUUUAAUUUUGAUAUUUUGUUGCACCUAUAAGAGCACAUCCAUCCAUGAUAUCUUAUAAAAAAUGAAGAAAAAACUAAUAUAAUUUUAGACAAAAAACACUGAUAAUAGGUAUUUCAAAACUUGAAAAUAUCUCAGUAUUUUGUUUAUUAUUUUUGAGUAUUUUCAUUAUAUCAUGAACGGAAGUACUUUAAUAUUGUGUAACCAUGUGGACCGCCGGGCCAAACAUAUGUAUAUAAUUAAUCGAUUAAUUCAUUUGUCAAAACGUUAAUCAAAGUAAUGUGAUUUGGUCAACUAUAUAUAUAUAAACGUGGGCUUCUCACCGUGGCAAAUUCUCCAUCAUGCGCAACAGCGCAAGCAACGCCCUAGCUAGAUUUUCGACAGAGUAUAGCCUAAUAUAGCAUUAACACCUAAACCUUAUCCAUAAUAUUUAUUUAGACUUGACUCAUUUAUUUAUUCCUUCAAUGGCAUAAUCUCACACCUUAAAACGAUUUCAUUCGUAGUUAGACCCGAUAGAUUCUUCAAUCUCAAACGCCGAGACAUAACCAUAAUACUACGGGGUCUUUUACGUUAUUAAAUUCAACUUCUUUAGUUCUUUAAAUAAUCGCUAAUAUAGGUUAUGAGAAAUGGUUAUGAAAGAGUUAACUAUAUUUAAGUAGUCUGUAUGUGUGAUGUUCCUAAUAAUUUGGAUCUAUAAGAAUCAGUGAUUAAUAAUAUAUAUCUAUCGUUUUAUGACAAAAAAAACUAAGUAAUCCGUGGAAUGUAAAUAAUAUAGAUUUGAAAGUGAUACGACUAUUCCUCUCAGUGCCAAUUAAAUAUUCACAAAUCUAUUGCUAUUCAUAUUAUUUUUUUCUUGAAACUUAUUCAUAAUUAUUUGAAGGUUAUGAUCAAUAAUUAAUCUAUGCAUAUGUAUUUUUAUACUGUAGAAUACUUUUUUAUUGUUAUGCUUUCUUUUGUAAGAUGAUAUGAAAGAAAACCCAAAGUUUUUAGUAUAUAUUACUCCAUCCGUUUCACAAAGAUAGAUUUUUUAGUGUUUUCACACAUAUUAAGAAAACAUAUUAAAUCACUAUAAUAAAUAUAUUGUUUUCUGUAAUUUUAAUUUUUAAUAAUUUUUAACCGAUAGUGAUUCAUUAAAGUCAAUUAAUUUUCUGAAAAAUCACAAUUUUUUCAUAGAAAAUACAAAAAAAUUGUCUUUGUAAAACAGAAUUUGUUUUCUAAAACAUUUACCUUAAUGAAACGGAUAAAGUAUAUCUUAACACCGUUCCAAAACAAUUGUCGUUGUGGUUUUUCUAUAUUCAUAUUGGGCACAUGAAAUUCAACAUCCAGAAAAUCAAAAUCCGUAUGACAAUUGUUAAAAAAAGGAACACAUGUCGUUUAGCUAGUGGUUCACACUAGCGGCCAAUGGUCCUCAUAUCAUGACAUGCAAAAUGUACCAAUGGUUUAUUUUAUUUAAGUGAAAUGAAUGAUGACAUUACCCUUGAUUCAUCAUGUGAGCUUCCUUACUCUUUUUUUGACAGCCACAAUGUUGUAAAGUGAAUCAAUCGUCUUUUGUGGAACCUGCUGUUUAGACGCCUUAGAGAAGGCUUCUCCAUUUUUCUGUCGUCCAUUCGUUAAAAACAGAAGACCUUACUCUUUAUAAUUUGAUUUAAACAUACAAGAAAAUUAAUUGAGUAAUCACACACUUUGUUUUAUCUAUAUUUAUAUAUAUUCAAAUACAAUAGUAUAUAUGUGUGUAUAUAUAUAUAUCUACUAAUGUGAGGUUAAAGAGAGCUACUAAGUAUCAUACAUAGUAUAUAUCUCGAUUUUGGAAGCACCGUAUCCUAGUGGUUAAGGUUUAAAAACUUAUACAUUCAGGUCAGGAAUUCUAAUCUGAGACUAUGCAAUUUCUUGCAGAUUGUACAUUAUAAGAAAUCGAGGUUUCAAUUUCCGGAAAAAGUGAUUUAUUAAACAAUUAUGCAGACUACGGAAGAACGACUUAUAAGAGAUUUUCAAAAUGUUACAAGUGAAUCCGGUCAGGUAUGAAUUUUCAUAGGACGGCUCUGCAGUUAGGCAUAUAUCCUCAUAAAGUAAGUAGUAUUGUCGGUUGUCGAAUCGUCUAUGUAAUCUUUCUCAUAAUUGUAAUAUCACAAUAAAACAUGAUAUGAGUUAAAGUUGAGAAGAAUCUUCGUAGGACGGCCAUGAUGAUGCACUUAGGCGUAAAUACUCAUAAGGUAGGUAAUAUUGUCGGUUGUCGAAUCAUCUGAGUAAUUUUUUUCAUAAUUGUAAUAUCAUAAUAAAUCGGCGUUAAAAAAAUAAAAUAAUAUAUAUAUAUAUAUAUAUCCCGAUCUGCAAAGAGUUGGGGCGUGUAAGUUAAUUGUAUUUUCUUUGACCAAAAAGGUAGUUAAUUGUAAUUUGUCAGGUGUACGUAUGUUUUCUAUAUUAUUAUUAACUAUCUUUUUAAAAGUGCAAAAAUUAGUCCAAAUGAGCAAAAACAUGAUAUGAGUUGAAGUUGAGAGGGAUGAACGAACGUGGUAUCUUCAUGUUGGCAACAGCUAAUGUGUAACCUCCCCACAAAUCUUGGAGAGGGACGCUCUUUACUCAAUUUUCACCUCUUUGAUGGUGUUACUCAUUAUCAUUAUUGUUAUUUUUUAAAAAUAUAUUCAUAAGAUCAUUAUUUAUAGUUUAUCUAACUAAUAAAGUUGUAACAAGAAUACUCAUGCGGUUACAAAUAUAAUGAUAUAUUUCCCUCCAACUUCUCUCUUGCUUGAAACCCUAACGCGAGUGCCUCACUCUCCUGUCAGCGGCUGCCGCGUCCCUUAGGCGGUCGUUGGAGCUUGCUCAACGGUGUCUCUGUGUCUCUGUUUCCUCUGUUUAUUUUUGUCUUCUCUGUUAUUUUAAUUGCGGUGGAGGUUGGGCCCAACCGUGGUUCUCCGGUUCAGAUCCGACGAUCUUGGUAGCAGAUCUGGGAUGUUCUUCACGGCGUGGAUGGGUUUUGAGGACGGCUCCUCUUCUUGCUUGGUCCUGUUAAAGUCUCGCUCCAGAUCUCUGUCUGGAGGGUUUUCUAUGCCACGGUGGUGUGUCCUUCGAGCUAGGCGGCGCGUGAGUGCUGGGUAAAUCUCUUUUGGGCGUGUGGCUGUGUGGUCGCGUCUCCCUUAUGUGGAUUUGAGUCUGAAGUAUCUCGAUCUUUCGUCUCUCCAUUUCAACUUCGGGUUUCUCCGGUGGUCGUGUGUGGAGUGCUAUGUAGGUGGGUUGUCGACUCUUUCCUGUGGGUACUCUGGUGGCAGCGUACGGUGAGGUGUUCUUCUCUUUUAGCGAGUGGUUUCGGCCGCGUUAGAAUAGUGGCCUCCUCUUCGAAGUAGGUUUGGGUCCAGCGUGUGGCGCUCCCGGUCGCUACCUCUCUCUCCCUCUUGUGUUUUGGCGGUGGGUUUGCUCUGUGGAUGUGGGUGUGUCUGUCGACAGAGACUAGGUUUCAAUUGAGCUUUCGGCCUAAUAGCUUGUUCGAAGGUUGUUUCGCCGGAGGAGCUGUGCCCAACCGAUCCCUUUGCUCUAUAUGAACCUUGGGUUAAAUGGAUGUACACGGUCCCGGGACUAGUUGGUUGGAGGCGACAUUCUUCAGCUACUAGUUCCGAACGACGGCAUCGUUGGUUCGUGGACACCUCCUCGUAUCGCCGGCUAAAUAAUUUUGUACGGGUUUGCAGGUCUGAGAUUGUGAUUCUUUUAGGAGGUCUUGAUGAGUGGGUUCCGAGUGGGUCACUCGGAAGUUGUAGGAGCCGUAGCAUCAAGGUUUGAGGGUGCCUUUCUCUCGGUAGCUAGCGGCAACCAGAUGCUCGUUCCGCUUAUUCCUCUUCUUCACAGUCCAUCACUGCUUCGUUGUUGUCCGGGUCAUUGUCUUGGUCUCGUCUCCUUUCAUCUUAGUAUAAUUCACUGUUUAGACUCUCUGUUUAGAUUUAAUUUUUGAAUCUUACUUGUUGCUGUGUAAUUUCUGUAAUAAAUUGAAAAAUUGUAUAAUAUUUAAUAUUUUACCAAAAAAAAAUAACGCUUAUGCGUCGACAAAGCUCUGAACAAACUAUUUCCUUAUAACUGCGUUUUUUUUUUUUUUUUUUUAGUUAUGGGUUAUCCCUGUACGAAAUAUAACAUGUUAAUCAGUCCUCUCUCGUUGCUCAAAAAAAAAGAAUCAGUCCUCUCUCAACAACGAGAUUUACAUAUCAUCGUCAAGCGGAUCUUAUAUGCUAUAACUAGAUAUCAUUUAUAUAGGUUUUCAUUAUUUGCUUGAUGAAUUUUUUUUUUCUUUUUUCUUUAAAUAGAUAUAUUAUUUUAUGACCCAAAACGGGAUUUCAAGUUUCGAUUAAAAGCUCAAUUUGAACAAAAUGAUCUAAAUCAAACGUAAACUAAGUUAGCUUCGCUCAACCACCACCCCGGCGCAUUCCACUAGUUGUCUCCGCAAUCCUUAGAUUAUCAAUUGCCGUUCUCAACCGUUAAUGGUAUCCACAAAGAAGGUGGUGUUCACCUCGUUUCCUCGGUUGCCGAUUACUUCUCGUGCCAUUACCGGAGUAGCUGGUUCUUGACGAUCUCAUCAAGCUUGUUCUCUCCGCCGACUUUAACCUCAUUAUCCGGGUGGAAGAGAGGCAAAGAUAACAUACCAGAGCUUCGAGAAACAAUAGGUUGUGAUGAAGGCAAACCCCAAAAUCGAGUGUUCCUUAACCUUAAAAGCCGACUCUCCACCUCCGCAACCGGAGACACCUCGGUGAAUAUUUUAAAUACUAUAGAUGGUUAUAUAUGAGAAAUUGAUGAGAUUAAUAAAGGAUCUUGUUUUUAUUUCUUAGGUUGAUAUCUCAUAUAUAUAUAUUUCACGAUCAUGAUGAAUAGGACCAACAAAACUUCAUAAUUUCAACGUUACUGCAACUUCACGAGUUAUCAAAGUUCCAAUCACUACAAGAAAACAGGGGGAUUCUGAUGGCCGAAAUCGUCGGUAAUUCGUCGGAAUCGGUCUAUUCCGACGAAUUUCCGACGAACCCGUCCGUCGGUAUCGUUUCGUCGGAAAAAAAAAAUUCGUCGGAAUUUCGUCAGAAAUUCUGACGAAUACCAAGAAACGUCAUUCUGACAAACUUCCGACGAUAUUACGAUGCGGCUACACGAGACCAGAGUUCAUCGGAAAACUACAAUUCCGACGAACGUGGUUCCUCGGUUUAUUCUGACGAACUGUAGGCGUCGGAAUUUACCGACGGACAUCGGUCGUCGGAAUAUACCGACGAACCACGUUCGUCGGUAUAUUCCGACGGAAAUGAGUUUGUCGGUAAAUUCUGACGGAUAUAUGUCCGUCGGUAUAUUCCGACGACCGUUGUCCGUCGGUAUAUACCCUUUUUUUUUUACAAAUUAAUUUUGCAUUUUUAUAUAUUUUUUGAUAUUAAUAAAUUUAAAAAAUUGGAAAUUUAAAACUAAUAAUAUUAUAAAAUUUAAAUUCAUAAAAACCGAAAUAGGAAAAAAACAUUCAUAAAGUUUAAAAUUCAUACAAACCGAAAUAGAAAAAAAAAACAUUCCGAAAGUUUUAUAAAGCCGAAAUAAACUAAGAAGAACUCGAAGACAUCAAACGAUCUAGCUUCUGCAUAAUCUCGGUGUUGAACUUCUUCUGGGAUGCCAACUCAGCAAGGAUAGUGGCAUUCUCCGAACGGAUAGUGGCAUUCUCCGAAAGGAUAGUGGUGUUCUGCUCCUCCAAUGCCCCAAUCCGUUCAUCUUUGUCAUGUAGCUCCUCGAGAAUCAUGGGAUCGGCAUACGGAGCUUGCGAAGAAGAUGCCGGAUACGAAGAAGCACGACGGGCCAACCCAACUAAACGGCCUCCUUUCCUUUUAGGAACCGCCUACAAAAAUAUUUAAAGUAAGUAAAUAUGGACAAGUAAGUAAUCGACAUUAUAAAAAAAAUAUAUUAAUAAAAAAAAUUACCUUUUCAACCAUCUCAUUUAUUUGCAAUAGAGACAGGUUGGUUGAAGCUCCCGUGGAGUCGCCGUCAUCAGAGAGAGGCUGAGAUUGAGAAACUAUCUCAGCUUCCACCAAAUCAACUACACCUCUGAUCACGGGGUCCUGAAUUUGACCCGUCGUCUUGUUAGUGUGAGCCACCUUAAUGAGUUGGAGACGAUCAACGGGAUUACCGUCAUUUGCUUCGAUCUAAAAAAACCGCCAUUAUUAGCCAAAAAAUAUAUAAAAUAUUUAUUUAAAAAAUAUAAAGAUAAAUAAUAAUAAAAAACUUACAAGUUCAUCCUCCUUAGUAGACAUGGAGCAAGCGCCGAGGUUGUGCACAUACAUACCUUUCCCGCCACGAUCGCUCUUUCGGUUCCUGGAGUUCCUAGAAGACGUCUCUGCAGUGUCUUCCCUCUCCCAAUGAGCUAUAAACUGCUCCCACACCCCCCCGUUGAUGAACCGUGGCUUCUUGUUCUUCUGCCAAACUGUCUUCCACGCGUUUAUCUGCUUUGUCUAAGAGUCCAUGGCCUUUUCGUUGAAUUUCUUACGGACUGUUUCCGUAAGAUCGGAGUGCCAGUUGAACUCUUGCUACAAAACAAACACAAUUUAAUAAGUAAAUAUAUGUAAAAAAAUGUAAAAACUUAAAAAAAAUGAAGGGUUACUAUACCGCAAACUGACGAAACCACAACUCUCGUUCGUCGGAAGGGAUCACACUCCACUUUGGAUAUCCAAAACGGAGCAUGGAGUACAUCAUCUGGUUGAUGCUCCGGCUAAUGCCAUUUUUCGACUUGGUGAACCUUUAAAAAAAAAAUACAAGUUAGCAAGUUAAUUAAAGCAAAAAAUAUAACGGUACAAAUAAAAAAAAAAUACUAACCAAGUGCUAUGGUCUCGUCGUGGGUUGAGUUGGAGAAACGGGAGAUGCUCUCGACCUGGUUGUUGAACCAAUAGAUGAACCGGCAUGACCCCCGGAUCCUGUUGAGCAGCAGCGUGAGGGGCAGCGUGAGGGGCAGAGGGAGCUGGAGCGGGAAUAUAUGCGGGAACCGAGUCAUGAGACGAUACCGAUGCACGGGAACCGCUCACCGAACUACGUCGAAGACGGGCUGCGGGGCGGGCUUCAUCCUCGGCCCUAAAAAAAAAAAAUUAACCCAUCAAACAUAUUUUCAUUUAUAUAUUUACAAAAGGUUUUAUAAACGUUUUAAAAAAAAAUUUACACCAUGCAUAAUAUACAUAUAUAUAUAUGUAUACAAAAUUAUAAAAAAUUUAUAAAUAUAGAAAAAUGUUGUUAAAAUUUAUAAAUGAAGAAAAAUGGUGUUAAAUAUUUAUAUUUUUUUCAAAAAAACGUUUUUAAAAAUCAAAAAACGUUUUUAAAAAUCAAAAAACGUUUUUAAAAAUCAAAAAACGUUUUUAAAAAUCAAAAAACGUUUUUAAAAAUCAAAAAACGUUUUUAAAAAUCAAAAAACGUUUUUAAAAAUCAAAAAACGUUUUUAAAAAUCAAAAAACGUUUUUAAAAAUAAAAAAAAACGUUUUAAAAAAUCAAAAAACGUUUUUAAAAAUCAAAAAAUGUUCCAAAAAAAACUAAAACAACAAUCCUAACUUAUAUAUCCUAAACUAUCCAUUCAAUCCUAAAAUGUUCAAUCAAACAACCUAAAAUCCGAGAUCAACUUCCAAAACCCUAAACAAUUGAAAAAAAAAAGGUUUGGGAUGAUUCUUACAUGAUUUGGGGUUUGGGGAAGAGAUAGGAGGGUGAGGAGAGGAUUCACCGGUGAAGAGAGGCCGGAAUCGCCGGAGAGUCGCCGAAAUCGCCGAAAUCGCCGGAGAGUUUUGAGAGAGAGAGAGGCCGCGGAGAUAACGAAGAAGAAAGGAGAAGGAUUUUUAUUUCCGUGGAUUCCGACGGACACGGGUUCGUCGGUAUUCCGUCGGUAUAUUUAAAAUAUACCAAAUGCCGAUUCGCGAAAAUUUUCAAGCGGUUUGGUUCUCCCGGGCUAAUUGAAAUUCCGACGGAACGUGUCCGUCAGUAUUUUCCGACGGACACAUUCCGUCGGUAUUUUCUGACGGAAUUCCGACGACUUAGUGUUUAGGGUGUUCUUUUCAAGUUUCUAAAUGCAAAAUCCAAACCUUUGAUAAUAUAUAUAGUAUUUGCAUAAAGAUUUAACAAUAAAAAUGUUUUAUAACACGAUUUUACACAACAAUAUUUUUUGUAGUGUAAGCUUAUAUAAAUAUGAUUGUAUAAGUACAUAAUGUUAAGAUGAGAUGUUAUGAAAACAAUGAUAUGCAUACAUAAAUAUUUUAAUGAGUUGUUAUAUUUGAACGGUUGCGAUCUAAUACUAUACUAAACACUUAUUAUGUGUUAUUUUCAUAGUUUUGGCAUCUAAAUUUAUAGAUUUUUAUGAUUGAAACUUUAUAGAAAAACAUGUCGUCGGUAUUUCGUCGGAAAAUACCGACGACCUUUCCAAUUUUCAAUGAAACCCGUUGUCGUCGCUAUGUCGUCGGUAUAUUGCGAGGGAUUUCCGACGGACCAUUAAAAAAAAAAAAAAAAAAAAAAAAAAAACUAAUCAGAAUCUUCUGAAUCUUCAUCAAACUCCCCAACCUCGGCUUCCGGCUCUGAAUGUACGACAGCAUCAUGUCCAAACACAGUCAAAUUCUCAACGAGUUGAACAUUUUCCAAAUCUUCAACUGCCUGGGCGUUGCUGGUAGACUCUGGUUGCAAUGGUUCAUCAUCAUCAGAAGUUCCAUCCACUCGUCCUCUUGGGUUGAUUUGCGUUACAGUAACCCAUGGAUCGUCUCUGUACGUCACCCGAGGGUAACUGAUGUAGCACACCUAUACAUAUCAAUUAUACAAAGUAUUAGUUCAAUAUAUAACAUUAAUUAAUUAUAUUGGUAAAAAAUUAUGAAUAUAUUGACAUACCUGAUCAGCUUGCGAACCAAGAAUGAAGGGAUCAUAAUAUUGAAGUUUCCGCCGCGAAUGAACUGAUGUAACACCAAACGCAUCAAUCUUCACUCCUCUAUCUGGGGUGGUGUCAUACCAAUCACAAUAAAAUACUACACAACGCAAUCCAACCAUUCCAGGAAAUUGGAUUUCCAAUAUUUCUUUUAUGUUGCCGUAGUAGACAUCGUCACCAGAAGAAGAUGAAACACCAGCAUCAUAUGUUGUCUUAGAAUGACCUUUCCUUGUGAAUGCAUAUCCUCGCGUACAAAAUUUAGGAUAUGAUUUGACCACAUAGUUUGGUCCCUGCACAAAUUCGCGUACCCAAUCAUCGAACACAAGACCUCUGGCCAAACCAUCAUUCACCUAUAAAAAAAAACAUAUAUGAUUGCAAAAUUAAUUAGUUUAUAUAUAUUAAAUUUAAACUAAUCAUUUGCAUAGGGUAAUAGGAUAUAUGACUCACAUAACUACGAAGCCACGCAGCAAAUCCGUUAUCUCUAAGUUGUCGAAGCUCAUCUUCUGUUGCAUGCCUGUGAGUCAUACGCAACUCCGCCAUAUAUACACUAUAUACAAAAAUAUUAUCAAUAUGAAAUAAAUUUAUUGAAUAUUAAUCUAACAAUAAAUGAAUAAAUAUUUUUACCUCUCAUAUUGUAGAACAUCUUCACAGUUGGUGAGCAAAUAUGUUUGCAAAUGAGCGUUCUCAGUGUCCGUAAGUCUCCGCUUCGUGAAUUUUCCACUAAGUCGUCCUAUUUCCUUGAACAUGCUUGGGACAGUAACAUGAUAUGUUGCUCUCUCCCCUCUAUCAUCAUGCCGAGCAGGUCUUCGGUGUUUUGUUUGCACUUCUGGUGGAAAAUAAUUUUCAGCAAAGAUUGCAGUUUCUUCAUUGAUCACUUGUGCCACUAUAGAUCCUUCCACCCUGCUUUGAUUUUUGACCAUCUUCUUCAGAUGAUGCAUAUAACGCUCAAAAAUAUACAUCCAUCUGUACUGCACAGGACCACCAAGUUCCAAUUCUCUUGCGAGAUGAAUAGCAAGAUGUUCCAUUACAUCAAAGAAUGAUGGAGGAAAUAUCUUCUCAAGGUUGCACAUGCUGACUGGUGCGUUUGUCUUCAAAUUAUUAAUACCCUCUUCAGUCAAUACUCUGCUGCAUAAGUCACGGAAAAAAACACUAAUCCCUGCAAUUGCUUCAUGAACAUUACGUGGCAAUAAUGCUGAAAAGGCAAACGGAAGGAGGCGCUGCAUAAUUACAUGACAAUCAUGACUCUUCAAGCCAGUAAACUUUCCUUCGCUUCUAUCAACGCAGUUCCCCAAAUUUGAUGCAUAUCCGUCAGGAAAUUUCACUUUCUCUGUAAUCCAAUCAAAGAACUCUUCUUUUAUAGCACCAUCUAGCCGAUAAAUGGGAAAAGGGGCCGUACCGUUCUCAUCAACGUGAAGUUCAGAACGAUCACAAAUAUCGACUAAAUCCAACCUUGACUUCAAAUUAUCCUUCGUUUUACCUUGGAUGUUAAGGACUGUGUUCAUCAGAUUAUCGAAGAAGUUCUUCUCAAUAUGCAUGACAUCUAAAUUAUGCCGCAAUAGAUGACUCUCCCAAUAUGGUAGAUCCCAGAAAAUACUCUUUUUGUGCCAGUUAUGUAGCUCUCCAACCGCAUUGACUCGAAUGUUUUCAUGUCCACCUACAUCUGGCGUCCUUUCUGCAUCAAAAUACCUAAACUGCUUCAACAAAUCUUUCCCACUAACUUCCUCAGGUGGACCAUCAAACACCUGCUUGUUCUUCGUAAACGAAGUCUUACUCCUGCGGUAUGGAUGAUCAGGUGGUAGAAAUCGUCUGUGACAGUCAAACCAACACGUUUUCCUUCCGUUCUUUAGUUGGAAAGCAUCUGUGUCAUCUUGACAAUAUGGACAUGAUAGCUUCCCAUGUGUUGUCCAUCCAGAUAACAUACCAUAUGCUGGAAAGUCACUUAUUGUCCACAUAAGUACUGCCCGCAUCUGAAAGUUUUCUUUGCGCGAAACAUCGUAUGUCUCAAAACCAUGCGCCCAUAGUUGUUGCAACUCAUAUAUUAGUGGUUGAAGAAACACAUCUAGUGAUCUUUUAGGAUGAUCUGGCCCGGGGACUAGAAUUGAGAGAAACAAAAACUCUCGUCGCAUGCACAAGCUCGGCCGUAAGUUGUACGGUGUCACAAUAACUGGCCAUAGAGAAUACUGCCUUCCAUGCUUUCCAAAUGGGCUGAAACCAUCAGUAGAUAAUCCAAGAUAAACAUUUCUUCUCUCUUCCGCAAAUUCUGGAUAUGUUGACUGAAAAUGUUUCCAAGCCUUUGCAUCUGAAGGAUGUCUAAUCUCACCAUUUGUGGAAUGCUCUGCAUGCCAUCUCAUUGCUUUUGCUGUGCGCUCACACUGAUACAACCUCUUCAAUCUUUCCGUCAAAGGCAAAUACCACAUUCUUUUGAAUGGGAUCGGAACUCUUCCCCUCGUCUCCUGAUAACGAGGUUUCCCACAAAAUUUGCAUACAUUCCGUGUCUCAUCCGCUCUCCAGUAGAUCAUGCAGUUGUCAAUACAUACAUCUAUCACUUCAUACGGUAGUUGAAGACCUGCAACAAGUUUCUGAACCUCGUAGUAUGAACCCGGUGCAAGGUUAUCCUCAGGUAGAAUACCUUUGACAAAAUCAGUAAUCGCAUCCAUACAUUCUUCAGCCAAAUUAUAGUCUGUCUUAAUACCCAUUAAUCUAGUUGCAGAUGAUAAGACUGAAUGACCAUCUCUACAAUUUUGAUACAAAGGUUGUUUUCCUGCAUCCAACAUGUCAAAAAAUCUCCUAGACUCGGGGUUUGGUUCUUCCCCUCUAUAAUGAUCAUGUACCAUCUGCUCAGUACCUACACCAUAAUCUAUAUCCGUUCUAGAUUCUUCUAACCUAAUAUCAGGCUGAGGUUCACUAACAGGCUGAGGUUCGCUAGUACUACCAUAUUCAUAACCAGUUUCCCCAUGAAGGUACCAAACUUUAUAAUUACGUGAAAACCCUUUCAUAUACAAAUGAGUCCAAACAUCAAAUUCUUUUAUAACCUUAUUAUUAUUGCAAGAAGAGCAGGGACAUCUUAACAUACCACUUUUUGCAUCCGGUUGCUGUUGAACAAGCCUCAUGAAUUCUCCAAUCCCUUGAACGUAUUCUUCCGUAAGCAAAUUGGUGUUCGGAUCCAAAUGAGGUUUAUCCAUCCACGAACGAUAAUAAACUUCUGAAGACAUGAUUUUCACGGAAUUGUUAUGACUAAAGAGAAUGAAGAGAGAAUGAAGUGUGAAUGAGUUGAAUGAGGAGGGGUUGUAUUUAUAGGAAAUUGCUUACGGACCUCCGACGACUUUCCGACGAAAUUCCGACGGAUGUAAAGAAGUCCGUCGGAAUUCCGUCGGAAUUGUCCAAUCCCAAACGGCUAUACAACGGUCAUAUGUAUUUGUCGGCAACGGUCACAUGGUUCGUCGGAAUUCCGUCGGAAAAUACCGAUGGAAUUCCGACGACUUUGAUGUUAAUCGGAAUGUCGUCGGAAUUUCGUCGGAAUAUACCGACGAACUUCCGACGACUACAACGGUUACAUUUUUUAUCGGAAUGUCGUCGAAAAGUCGUCGGAAAAUUCCGACGAACCGUAUGUCGUCGGAAUUCCGUCGGAAAUGGCCGACGGAAUUCCGACGACUUCAUUUUUUUGGAUUUGGUCGGAAAUUUGUCAGUAUUCCGUCGCAAAUGUCCGACGACCUUGGUGUCCGUCGGAAGCUCCGUCGGAAUUAGGAGUGUUUUCUUGUGGUGAAUAUAACAAGAAUUAGCUUAUUAAGCUUAAUGAUACUUUUAUAAUAAUUUUAUAUAACAAACUGCCUGAUCACCGUUCCAUCAAAGGUUUAACAUAAGUUCAAAUAUACUCGAAAGGAAAACAUGAUAAUAUUUGUUAUCAAGAAGAAUAUUUCAAAGACCUGCAGUGUUGUAAUAAAAAGUUUCAAAAAAAAAAAGAAUAUUUCACAAUUUCUUUUUGUAACAUGGUCGUUGCAUGUUCUCUUGGGUUUGAAUUUGCUUAUAGUGUUUUACAUUUUCUUAAGAUUUUUUCUUUGCUUACAUUUUCUUAAAAAUAUUUCCAAACGAAAUUUAGUUAUCAUAUGGAGAUUAUACAUGUAGAACGAAACAUAAAAUUUCUUUUUAACUGUAUGUAUGUGCUUUUCAUCUAUGCUUUUACAAGUUUACAAAGAAUAAAGGGAAUAUCGUUAAAUUCCAUUAUGAUAAAUGUCUUGUACAAUUUUGUAAAUGACAUGUAAGCAUAAAAACAAACUCACAAGAAAAGCCAAUAAAAAUGCAUGUGUACUUGUCUACUUCUGAUAUAAAGACCAUAAAGGUGAAAAUAAAACAGAAAGAAAAUGGUGACAAAAAAAAAACAAAAAGCAUGAUAAACAGAAAAUAUAUAAUCUGUUUUAAAUAAAAAGGACACGUAUACAAUCGGGAAACAGAGGACGGCACCGAACCAAUUGGACUUCCCCUCUUCUUCAAUCCCUUAUAAAUACUUUGUACUUUCCCUUACGUACUCCUAUGACCUUUGUUUCUCUCUUCUCUAUUAAUUUUCUUAAAGCUCUCUGAUUAGCUCAUUAUUGUUAAAGCCUGUUGACCAAUAUUGUGAUUAAUAAUCAAUCAUCAAGAUUCAAGAAAAAAAUCACAUGGGAAGAUCACCUUGUUGCGAGAAGAACGGGCUCAAGAAAGGGCCGUGGACGUCCGAGGAAGACCAGAAGCUCCUUGACUAUAUCAAGAAACAUGGAUAUGGUUACUGGAGAACCCUCCCUAAAAAUGCUGGUACGUCUCUUAAUUUACAUUUUUAACCAUGUUUUGAGUAAUGAUGUUAUCUAAAAGUUUCGAUGGUUAAAUUUUGUUUUCUUCACUUAAUUAUUAGGUUUGCAGAGAUGUGGCAAGAGUUGCCGAUUAAGGUGGACUAACUAUCUCCGACCAGAUAUAAAGCGAGGAAGAUUCUCCUUUGAAGAAGAAGAAACAAUUAUUCAGCUUCAUAGCUUUUUAGGAAACAAGUGAGUAUAGUUUUGAUUUUGUCGUGACAAUAAAUAUUUUCUUUGAACUAUUUCAAGAUUCUUAUGUGUUUGCCCUUUUAUAGGUGGUCUGCUAUUGCGGCGCGUCUGCCUGGAAGAACAGAUAACGAGAUCAAGAAUUUUUGGAACACACAUAUAAGAAAGAAGCUACUUAGAAUGGGGAUUGAUCCGAUGACUCACAGUCCGCGACUCGAUCUCCUCGACAUCUCAUCCAUCUUAGCAUCAUCUCUUUACAAUUCUUCUUCGCGUCAUGUGAACAUGUCAAGACUCAUGAUGGAUGGUCAUCGUCAGCAUCAACAGCAACAACCAUUGGUUAACCCCGAAAUACUCGAGGUAGCUACCUCUCUCUUCUCUCAAAACCAAAACCAAAACUUCGUGAUGGAUCAUGAUUCCAAAACCCAUGAUAACCACACGUCUUAUCAUCAUGAUGUUAACCAAACCGGAGUAAAUCAAUACCAGACCAACCAUCAAGAACUCCAGUAUUGCUUGCCACCAUUCCCCAGCGAAGCUCACAUUAACGAUAUGGAUCAUCACGGAGAACAUACGUUUGCUUUAAACUUGAAUACGUCGGUCCAAGAUUGUGAUAUUCAGUUGUUCAACGACUAUGCAAGCUCUAAUUUUGUAUUAGACCAUUCUUAUCUAGAUCAGAGCUUCAACUUCGCUGAUUCGGUCCUGAACACGCCAUCCUCGAGCCCGACUACGUUAAACUCCAGUGCCACGACUUACAUCAAGAGUAGCAGUUGUAGCAUUGAAGAUGAAAUAGAAAGCUAUUGCAGUAAUUUCAUUAAGUUUGAUAUUCCCGAUUUCCUGGACGUUAAUGGUUUUAUUAUAUGAUUUCAAGAAACUAAAUAAAAUCCAUUAGGAUAUAUAGUUGUUCUUUUCAUGUAUAUUGUAAUUUUAUUGUUUUUAUAUUUCAAAUUUGUUUACAUGUAAAAUACUAUUUUCUCUUGUUUUUUUUUAUUCUUUAGAGUUUAUAUUAAUACUAUAGUAAUGGAGUUUCCAUUAUUGAUUUCCACUUUUUAUUUAAAUAUUCAUAUUUGCCGGCUUCACUUCUACAUUUGCAUUGUAAUCUCCUGUCAAUAUUAUAUUUGAAUCAAUGAUAUAAUUGAUAUGAGGUGCUAAAAUUUCCUGACAUAGACAUAUAAUAAAUAUUUCUAAAUUAAGAUCAUUGACUUAAGAGCCCAAACAAGUGUAGUCCAAAUGAUUUACCAUAUACCAUGUAAAUUUUUAUUUAUUUAUUUUUCUGUGGUCACAAAUCCACCACAUACAUUCCCAGCAAGAUUCUUAAGUAAUACUACUUUUAAUUAAUUACAAAUUAGUAAUACUUCAAAUUAGUUAAGUAAAUGAUACUAUUGGUAAUUUGGUAUUUCCUUUUAUAUCAUCUUUAUGAGGCUAAUUAAGAGUCACUGGAGGCUCCGUUCCUAAAAGAUGUAUGUUUUGGAAAAAAAAUUUGUUUCAAAAAGAUACAUUUUUUACUUUUUCAAUGUAUGAUUUUAUGAAAAAUUGUAAGUUUCAAAAAAUUUAAUGGUGUUUAUUGAAUUUCUAUUGGCUAAAAAUUAUGAAAAAUUGUUAUUUACAAAAAACAAUACAUAUUUAAUGAAUUUUCUUAAUAUAUGUGAAAAGUCUAGAAUAUGCAUCUUUUAAAAACAGAGGGAGUAAUUAUUUCUAACUUUUUAUAAUUAAAGACAAUUAUCAUAUUAGGAUUUGAGUUUUCGUUCAUAAAAUCUACUCCCUCUGUUCCUUAUAGAUCCAUUUUUUAGAAAAAAAAUUUGUUUUAAAAAGAUACAUUUUUUACAUUUUCAAGACAUUAAUUAAUGAAAAAUUGUACUUUUCAAAAAAUACAAUUGUGUUUAAUAAAAUUUCAUUUGUUAAAAGUUAUUGAAAAUAGCUAAUUAAAGAAAAUAAUGUAUUGGAAAAUACAAUUUUAAAUGUUUUCUUAAUAAAUGUGAAAAAACUAUAACUGGAUCUUUUAGGAACGGAGAGAGUAAUACGUAAAGGUUAAUUUAUUUCCAUACGCUUUUCUAUGUAAACGAUACUCAGAGUUAGGGUGGAAUUUUGUGCUAAUUGUCAAUGCCACUUGCAAGCGGAUCCAAUCAUUUAAAUACUCGUUUUUGAAUUUCAAAUUUACAAAAAUACACACAAACACUUAAAAUGAAAGAUGUAUAUUAGCUAUAUCUAUCUAGCUUAUUUAAUUUUGCUAAAAACAUUUUAAGAAAGAAAAUAAAAAAUUAACAACAGUGUAACCUAAUUAUAAUAAAGAAUUGAGUAAUUGAGAAGUCUGGAAACCAAAACACAUUAUAUAUUACUAGGAAACAUAAAUAAACUAUAUAGCUACUAUAUACACAUUUUUAAAAAAGAAAGCUACUACUAUUCAUGCAGAAGAGAGACCCACUUAAACCCGAAACCGGCGGGAGUCGCCGGCCGCGUGCAGUGCACAUGCAUAAGAUGUCAUUCAUCUUCCCUUCAUCUUUAGUCUUACGUGCAGAAGUUAAAAGUGUAAUUAACUACUGUUUCAUGGGAUUACAGAAAGUAUAUAAUGGUCUUACGACACGUGUCAAUACAGUGACGAAUGACGAUGAACUGGCAUGUAAUAAAGGCAAAAAGGAAAGCCUCCUUAUUGAAAUCACGGUAUAAGUUUUUUGUAAUCGCUUUACACGCGUAGGUAUCAGUCACCAUUUAACAUGGAGCACACGUGGAACUUACUUAUGUGUUGUGAACGACGAUUUGUGUAUGAGCUGUUAUUUCUUGACUGCUGGAUUGUCCCCUUUGUUUAUUUCUUGUAAUUUUAAAAACAAAAGUAAAAUAACAAUAAUACUUUGUGAUCUGAAUAAAUGCUGUAAUUUUGACAUAUGAACGUGUUUUUUUUUUUCAUGUAUUGUUUUUCAGUGGACUCUCCAAAAGGUACAUUUAUCUUUGUCAACUAUUUCUUGCUGUAUAUUAGACGAUGACUUUUUGGCGGUUCUGUUCUUCUUGUAGGAGACCCCUAACGAUUGUUGCCAAAAUAAAGAGACCCUAAUGAUUUAUUUUUCUAAGAGACCCUAAUGAUUUUCUGAUCACUUCUAUAGUUUUUUUUGUUAAUCAACUUAAUCCACUUUUAUAGUUAUAUAAGGAUAGGUCUUCAGUUUUUUUGUUUGUGUGUAAUAUGUACAUAAUUAAUCUAAAAAGCACGUGUUAAAGAAAUACUUUACAGUUUAUAAUUAUCCCUUUGUAAUAAGAUGAAAUUCUAGGCUAUAUGUCUUUAUACAACCAGAUUAAAACGACUUUUUAAGUUGUCUGCAAAAUGUUUAGAACUCAACUAAGAUCAUUACCAAAUUCUUGUUUUCAAAGGUUAACUUUUUUUUUCUCUUUGUUUGUUGCUUCGUUUAACAUUUAACUUAAACAAGGUCGUCGAGUAUAUAUCAAAGCAAUCUAUUGACCAAAACAAACAAUCAGACAAAGUCUACCAAAUAUUAAUGUAAUUAAGCAAAAAUUGGGCGGUUGCGUAUAUGAAUUUAAGAUCCAACGCAAAAAGGUGAGUUUUGUUUUACAUGCUCCCGGUUGCUUUAGUGGGGAUGUGUCUCCAUGCUCGUGGCCAACAAGAAAACGUGUUUUUUUUCUUCUCGUAUACGAUUCGUGUUGUGUUUAUACUUUAUAAUAUACUAAAAACAAAAACUUACAGUCAAAUUUGGACGUUCAAAAGGCUUACCUAGUUUAGUUCCCUCCUAAAAUCAAUUUGUUAUUUGUUAUUUUUUUUUUUUUUUUUUUUUUUUGUUAACCAAGAGGUGUCUGAAUUUUAGGUUUAAAUAAUCCUUUUAGACAAGGGAGAUGGACUCUUUUUUACACCAAAACAUAGUAUAAAUCCUCUUACCACUGGAUUUCGAACCAGGAGCACAAUAUCACCAACGCAUGUGCUUAAAUCAACUGCCUACCGGUGGUGGUCAAUUUGUUAUUUUCACCUAAGUUUUUUAGACAGCUAAUAGGUUAAUACUAGAGCUAUAUAUAUGUGCCGAAGACAAAAAUGUUUCGAUUUCAUUCAAAGACAUUAUUCGGUUAUUCUAAUAUUAACUGAUUUUUUUUUUGUAUAUGUAGUAAUUGGGUUUUUUAAAGGUUUUUACGGUGUUAUUAUUGGUUUAGGUAUUACUCCACUAAAGAGAAGAGUAAUACUAUUAAACUAUUGUCGCUCAAGAGCAGCUUUAACAGGAGUAUUUAAACAAGGGUUCUAAACAUUAAACUCGUUAAAAAAAGAAAAAAAUAAGAAAGAGAAAAUACAUACAGAAGAGAGAGGAGAAUAAGUCCUUGCAGACGAAACUCUCUUGACGUUUUUAUAUCCUCAGUCGACAGCUGUAGUUUUUCUAAAGGCCCAAUUAAUAAAAAUAAAUGAAAUCCAAUAAUCUAAUUUAAUUAAUAUUAUUUUUAUUUUUUUGGAAACUUACAGAGUAUGUUUCUGUUAAUGUUGCUCCAAGAGCACUCACAGUUAGAGAUGGCAAUUGGGUUGUACCGACCCGCCUUGUCCCGCCCCGCCGCGGUACACGGUCAAUGCGGGUCUUCGCGGUACAGGCCCGCGCGGAAUGCGGUUCCUAGAAGAGCUGCCCAAUCCCGACCCGCGACUUGCACAAGCCUUGGCGGUACAUGCCCGCGGGACUCUGAUCUUCAUCAACACAUGCGCUACUGAUGGCAAUUGGGAUGUACUGACCCGCCUUUCCCGUCCCGCGAUCUCUAUCCUGAGCAUAUCACCUGCAAGAAAAAGAGACCAAUAGAGAUGAGAACACAACAUGUCCUAUGAAUCAGUUGAACAUAAUGAUGCUCAGCCAAAGGAUUGAGAAUCAUAUCGAAAGCGCACAUAGAAACUCAAUGUAACAUAGAAACAUAGAAAGAAAGAGAUCUAUGUAAGAACACAAGUAUAUACUAGUAACCUAGUUAUUGUGUAAUUAUCAUAGAAACUCAAUGUAACAUGUUAUUAUAGAUCAGAAUGAUAGUGUCCUUCAUAUGCUCAUAUCAUUCUCCUCCUUUAUCAUAGAAACGACUUGCAACCUGCAUGUCAGUUCAUGUGAACAUUGCAUACCAAACACCAACAUCAAAAUAAUGCAUAUUAGUAAAUGGAAUCAAUGUUUUACAUAAGAGACAGAACAUUAAAACAAAGCUGAUUGAAACCGUUGUAGCUUUGUUUUCAAGAAACAACACGAGUACAUAACAUGAGUAAUUACUGUAAUUUCAGUUCAGUGUUUUAAUAUAAAUGGGUUAGAAUAAGUUGAUCAGCCGAAGCUUAUGUAAUGGUGUAGUAAUCUAUGUAUUUUGCAUACAAACCAUAUUUGAUUACAUUAAGGAGUUUUAAUGAAAAAACUUCUUUAAAAUAUGAGUGAACGAUGGCAAAUCCAAGUAUUGUAAAUGAACACCAAAACAAAAUCCAAGUAAUGUAAUGUGGCCUCGGUAAAAACCUUAUCGGGAAAACCCAUUGGGACAAAACCCGACAAGGGAAAAAGAGCGCCACGAAAUCCAUAAUAUAAAUAAAAUAAAAACACCAUAUCAAAAUAAAAAUCAAGUUUCUUCUUCUUCAACUUCAUCAUCAGACCACGGUACUGUCUCGUCUUCAUCAACUAUUUCAUCUUCUGGAAAUAUUAAAAAAAAAUCAAAGUUAAUUAGAUUUAAAGAACAUGGCACCUAAAAUAUAUAACAAAGUGAAUAAUUUACCAUGUUCAGAAGCUUCGAAUCCUUUUAGUCAAUUCCUACUACAUAUCAGAGCUUGGACAUUUUUGGGAAGUAGACGACUCCUGUAUUUGUUCAGAACUCUUGAACCGAUGCUAAAGGAGGAUUCUGAAGCCACUGUUGUGAUCGGAAUGCUAAGCAGAUCACAAGCCAUUGCUGGCAAAUCACCAAACCUGUGAGUAUUAUCUUUCCACCAGUUGAGAAUAUCCAAACUUUCAAAGCUAUCCAUAUCUAGCGCAGGUUCAUCCAAAUAAGCUUGGAGAGUUGUCUUUCCACUCGCAGCAACACUACUUUUGCGAAACGCAAAAAAAUCAUGUAGUGUUUAAAAAAAAUUAAAAACAAUUUGAUGGAAUAUCCAAACUUUCAAAGCUAUCUUAGCGCAGGUUCAGAAUUAAUUAAAAAAAAAAUGAAACAGGAAACUUACACCAUAGUUCUCAAAUGUUCCUUUUGGUCCUCCACAAACAUUUUGUUGAUCCAUCUCACGAGGCUCUGCAGAAGGUGAUGUUGACUUUGAUUUUUUGUCGUAUGAUUCAAACAAAGUUUCCAGCUUCAGACGCAAGUUCUUCAUUUUUGCAUCACGUGUACUCAUGUCAAGUCUCCCUAAACAAUAUUCUACAACUGGAAGCUUCAGGCGUGGAUCAAAGACAGCUGUCUUUGCAAAAAGAUCACUGACUUCUUCCCAAUACUUAUCGAACUUCUCUUUCAUCGGUAUCACCAUGUCUCGGAUAAUCUCAUCAUCGCUUUCCUCAUUUUUCUGCAGCCAAUUAUGGAUCUUCCAUACCUGAUAGAAAUACAAGUUCGAUGUUGGGUAUUUCGAACCUGACAUCAAACUAGUAAUCUUAGCAAAAGGCUCCAAGAAAACACAUAUUUUCGCAGCUCUGCUCCAUUCUGUAGCUGUAGGCAUAAACUUAUAGUUUCUCCUAUCAUAUAUCUCCAACUUAACAAACGCUUCACGGUACGGAAGGGCUCUUUCAAGCAUAUAGAAUGUCGAGUUCCAUCUUGUCUGCACAUCCAUUAUCAAACCAGCAUUCUCCUUUAUACCAGCAGCAUCCACGCAUUUUGCAAACGUCAUCUCACGCGUCUCUGACGCUGUUACAUACUUAACACUCUCUCUAACUUUGUGCAAAGAGUCUUUAAUAACCUUCAAACCAUCUUGCACAAUGAGGUUGAGUAUGUGAGCUGCACAUCUGACGUGAAAAAACUCACCUCCACACAACAAAUCAUUGCUUAAAAGCACCUGAGUUUUCACUAUAUCUUGCAUCGAAUCAUUACUUGUAGCAUUGUCUAAUGUGAGAGAGAACAUUUUUUUCUCUAGUCCCCAUUCUUCCACAGAUUCAAGAAGCUUUAAAGCAACAUUCAUACCUGUGUGAGGCGGUGGGAGAGCACAAAAAGUUAGUAUUUUACUGUUCAGCUUCCAAUUCCGGUCAAUGUAAUGUGCUGUCAGACACAUAUAACCCUCCCAUUUCAAUGAUGACCACAAAUCAGAAGUGAAGCUUACUCUUCCAGGAAGACUAGCCAACUCCCUCUUCAAUGUUUCUCUCUCGUUUUCAUAAAAACGAUAGACCUCUGCUUUAACUGUGUUCCGACAAAUGAAUUUGACAUCAUGAUUCAAGUGCUUCCAAGUUUCUCGGACUUGCUCAUACUCAACAUAAGAGUAAGGUAGGUCAUGCUGAAUUAUAGUCUUGGUUACCAGCUGCUUAAACACAACAUGAUCAUACUUGCCACUUACUAAUUUGGCUUCAGCAUCAAUUUUUUGGUUCGGAGAUUCCUUGGAAAGAGUUUGCAUCUAUCACGAUGCCUUCUCAAACCACUUGUUCCAUGCCCGUGGGAACUCCAUGCAUAGUCAUUCUUACAAUAAUUGCAUUUAGCUUUCUCCUCACCAUUAGAAUUUCGAAUCUUAGUAAAAUGGGGCCAUACAUCAGACCAUUGCCUACCCUCCUUCUCGUUCUCCAUCUCCUUCUCCAUCUCGUCCUCUUCAAAUUCACCUUCCGAAUCAAGCUGCUCCUCUUGAAUCUUCUUCUUUUUCUUACCAUUGCUUUGUGUCAGCCUGGAACUCUUUCUCCCCCCACGGAUGGUAAAAUGAAUAGAUCUGGUUUUGGUUUUCCUUUUACUGGCCUUAGAAGAGGAUCCAAUGCCACCGUCUAGAGUAGACUGUAUCAUUGGUUUUUUUUAUUUCAAGGCUUGCCCGGUUCCGCAGGUGGAUUGUUUGCGCAGAGUAGUAGCUUGGGUUGGUGGAGGAGUGAUUUCAACAUCACUAUCAUCUUCAUCAUCAGCAACCUCAAUAAGCUUUCUUUUUCUUCUGUGUUUCUUUUUUUUUCCAUCAGAUGAACCAGAACCAUCAUCAGCCUCGUCAGCUGCCAAAAGAACUCCAAUGAGUCGCUGACUCUCUAAAUCCAUUGUAUUCAAGGGCGUAAAAUUUGGAUCGAAACUUGAAUCAUCAUCUGUCAUCUUUUUCUCUCUUCUUCGUUAGGUUUAGUUUCUGGUUGUUUCUUUUUGGCUUUAGUCGUGAAAGCCGUAAAGCCGUAAACUGUUUAGGUAAUAUUGUUUUAGGGUUUUGUUUGUAUUUUUAUGUAAUUUUAAAAAUUAUACCAAUUAUUUACUUAUUUCCCAUUGGUCAGAGACUUAAGAAUUAUAAGAAAUUUUUAUUAUCUAAAUUAUUAGACUAAAAGAUCAAGUCUCAUAACGUAAAUUGUUUAGGUAAAAUUGCACUCUUCGUACUUUUAUCUUAAACAUUGCACUCGUCUACAAGAAGAAUUCUUGUUUCUCCCAAGGGCUAGUCCUUUAGCUAAUCCUUGUCUUACACGGUUACACCUAGAUUCAUCGAGCCCUCAAGUGCAGCUGAGAAUUUGGCAAUCAACUUAGUCUCACUGCCGAAUGCGUAGACAGUUCGCACCAAAGAGAUGGCUUGCUCAGCAAUAGAUCCAGCUUCUUUGUACUCUUCCCGUAUUUUCCUGGUGAUGCUGAUGAGGGAUCGUCCGUACAUCAAUCCAGGGAUCAAGAGGAGAACGAUGAAUGGGAAGCCUACGAUUGCGAGUUUCCACAGCAUGAUGAAAGCCACUACGAUUGCGUGUCCCCAUCAUCGUCACCGGUAACGAUUUCUCCACCCUCUACACCCUCUACGCUCCUCUCAUCCGUGAUGGACGUAUGGAGAAGUUCUACUGGGCCCCGACCCGUGAGGACCGUAUCGGUGUUUGCAAGGGUAUCUUCAGGACCGACAAGAUCAAGGAUGAAGACAUUGUCACGCUUGUUGACCAGUUCCCUGGCCAAUCCAUCGGUAAUAAAAAAAAAUAUUAGUACCUUUAUGUUUGUUGGUGCAUUGAGGGCGAGAGUGUACGAUGAUGAGGUGAGGAAGUUCGUUGAGGGACUAGGAGUGGAGAAGAUAAGCAAGAGGCUGGUGAACUCGAGGGAAGGUCCUCCAGUGUUCGAGCAGCCGGAGAUGACUCUUGAGAAGCUUAUGGAGUAUGGUAACAUGCUUGUGAUGGAGCAAGAGAACGUCAAGAGAGUACGUCAAGAGAGUCCAGCUUCACUGUGUAACUUGCGUUGCAGGUAAAAGUGCACAGUAAGUGAAUUUGCCGGUUCAGGACUUUUGAGUUGAUCAAGUUGUUUAUGACCUGGGAUGUAAUAAAGACCGAGACUAGUUGAUCUUCACAGAGGAGAUGGAAACCAUAUCAGGAAUUUUGAGUUGAUCAAGUUGUUUAUGACCUAACCGAAGCAAAUACUCGAUGUACUGAAAGGAGUGGUGAAAGAACGUACGAUGAUCAAUGAUAGAGACCAGUCUUUGCGGAUCUCCGCGCGUCCCGCGGGAUACACCGAACCCAUCCCGCUUCUGGCCCGAUCUCGCACAAGCUCAUCCCGCGAAACCCGCAAAAAAUUCGGGCCUGGAUCUUAGUAACCAAUCCCGCCCCGCAACAGGUUCAAACGGGCUAGACCCGCGGACAGGUUCAAAUUUUGACAUCUCUACUCACUGUCAUGGGUAUCUCUUAUAGUAUCUGAUCACAAAAAAGAAAAAAUUUAAAAUAUAAAAAAAGAAGUGAGGGAAAUACACGAUGAAGAGCGAUAGGAAAUACACGAUGAAGAGCGAUAGGAAGAGACAGACAAUCCUUCUCCGAGGGACUUUUAGAACAAAUUCAAGAGACGUACGUGUUAUAUCAUAAUUAGCUUAGUCUCUAUAAUUUGUUUUAAAUAAUUAUUUACAACAAACUAUUAUUAUUAUAAUGAUUAGAGACUCUUUAACCAUUUCAACCACUAGUGAUGUUCUAUGUGAACUCUGAUAGGAGUUAUUUAUUGUCGGUCAGUACGGCCAGAAGCUUCUAUAAUCACAGGUUUUUGCUGAUAUAACGGCCACGUAUUUCCAUACGUCAUUUACACAUCAAUAUGAGAGGUGUCCAUUUCCCCCGGACUAUUUAUACAAACGAAUUUUUUUUAUAGAAAAUGAAAAAACUAUAAAUGAAAUAAAGAAAAUCAGACAUUACCAAUGAGUAGAUAGACAUAUAUAUAAAACUAAAUUAUUUUGGAAGACGUUAUACGAAUAAACAAUGACAUCAUACAAUUUUCAAUUUGAUGAAUUAAAUUUAAUAAAAUAGUAUAUAAUUUAACCUUUACCCAAAGCUAUAUAUAUUGAAGUUAAGUUAGUCUAUUAAUUAGAAACCUUUGAAUAUACUUGAAACCCUAUCAAUAUGUGUGAUAGAUGCUAACACAUAUAUAUACACUUAAUUAUUGUGAUGGGUUGCCUAUGUUCUGCAAUCGAUACUGAACUAAGAUUUUGUAAAGUCAAAUAAAAGAAGCAUUAUCCAAUCAUGGCUAGCCCAUAAAUAUGAAUUAAGAAUUUGGAAAACGGUUUUCUUGCAAGAAAAGCAAAAGAACAAAAGUGUUAUAAAUCAAGUAAUGAAUGUCCAUAACCGGUCCGGUCCAUAAACCAACCCAUACCAAAAGAGAUAAUCGAAACCCUAGAGAGAGGGGAGAGAGCAGCUGCAUGUCCUAGAGGAGAGAGAGAGGCGGCCACAAGCUUAGAGAAAAGGAAUCCCUUUUCAUUUUCCUAGUAGAUGUAAUCUUUCCAUUUAUGUAUUUAGUAGUUAUCAUAAAUCUAGUAAGAUUAUGAUUUGUACUAUUUCUAUUUAUCUCUUCUUGUAAUCCUUAUAUAAGGAACCUAAUAUUAUGAAAUAAUAACACAGAACUAUUCAGUUUUCAAUCUUCUAAUUACAACACGUUAUCAGCAUGAUUGUUCUCUGCAAUCUAAGCUAAAAACCUAAAACCCUAAAAUCCCUAACUCAGCCGGCGACCACGCUAAACCCUAAGGUGUUUCCUGUCCGUCUCAGACCUCGACGAUCAGCUCAACUCCUUGGCGUUCCCUGCUCGUGUCCUGACGUCCUCAGCCAGCUCGUGUUCGUGAUCAACCAGCUCGCACCAGACGACAAUCAGCUUCAGCUCGCAGACGAGUGCAGCCGGCGAACGUUCCCGGAUGAUCAGCGAUCAGACAUCAUCCGUCUUGCAUUCGAGGUCCAUCCGUUCUCCCUAGGUGGUCCGGCUCAACCCUACAAAGACUAAGGCAUACCGUUAGUCUGAGAACGUUAUGAUCAAACCCUAAAACCCUAAUCCAUUAUUAUGGAAUUCUAUGAUCUUGAUCAAACCCUAAAAUCAGUAUAACCUAAAAACAACAAUCUCAUAACUAGCAAUUGAAUCGAUUCCAACUAGAACAUGUUUGAUUGUUUAUUUGUUUCUAAUCUGAAGUUAUGAAACCCUAAUAUUGGAAUCGAAACCCUAAACCCUAGAAACUUGAAUUCGAUUUUAAUGGUUCUUGUUUUGAUUGUUUGAUUGUUUGAUUGAUGAUCUGAGGUUAUAGGAUUGAUAGAUAGAUUGUAUAAUCUGAAUCUUGAAUUUGAAUCCUAAAGGCCUUGAAACCUUGAUCACAUAUUGCUAAAAUCAACUCCUAGCAUUGUUUAAAUCAAAACCCUAAUUUCAUAAAUAAGAAAUUGAAUUGGCUAAGGUUGUUUGCAUAAGUUAUGAAACUGAAUUUGAAUUGCAUUCGUCUUGUUUCUAAAUAUCGACCAACAUAUAGAUUUUACAAAAUUGAAUUGUUUGCAUCACAAAAUUGUAUGGUCGUGUGGCCUGAUCUAUUUGUUACUAUGUUUGAUCCGCACCAUUGUCGAUUAGAUUGAUUGAAACAUGAUUGUAAUAAGACUUGAUUGUGGCCGAUUUUAUUUGAUUGACUUGCGGCCACAUGAUCACAUUGUGAAACCCUAAAUUUUGAAUGACAAUGUGAUUCAGAUGUCGAAAAUCUCAAACCUAGACUAUGCUGCCCUUAAUCUCUCCGGAGACAACUAUUUGCAAUGGGCAUUUGACACAAAGAUUAACUUGAGGUCAAAGGAAGUAGGUGAUACAAAGAUUAACAAUGAGAGUGAUAAGAAUCGGUACAGGGCUAUAAGUAUUAUACGCCACCAUCUCAUUGAGGGUCUAAAAGAUCAGUACCUCACCAUGGAGAAUCCACUAGACCUUUGGACCGCUUUACAGUGUAGAUAUGAUCACAAGAAAACGGUGCUAUUACCAAAGGCUAGACAUGAGUGGAAGAAUCUCAGAUUUAUGGACUAUAAGUCUGUGGAUGAAUACAAUUCAGUAUUGUUUAAGAUAGUCUCAAUGAUGAGAUUAUGUGGUGAGGAAGUAACCGAGAAAGAGUUGCUUGAUAAAACAUUCUCCACGUUCCAUUCGACGAACUUGUUGCUGUAACAACAGUAUAGAGAGAGAGGCUUCGCCUCAUACACUGAUCUGAUCUCGUGCCUGCUCCUGGCCGAGGCUAAUAAUGAACUCCUGAUGAAAAACAGUGAGAUGAGACCCAUCGGAACAUCAGCAUUACCAGAAGCCAAUGAGGCUAAAAAGAAAGAUCCCAAAGAAUGCAACCACGUCCAUGAUAAUAAGAAGUCACAUGGCAAAGGCCGUAGUAGAUUCAAGGGACGUGACCGUGACAGCUAUGGACGACAAGGAAACCACAAUAACCGUGGUCGUGGUUCCAGCCGUGGCCGAGGCAAUUAUGGCUGUGGUCGAGGUGGCAUAUCCAAACCGUCUUACUUGACCAAAUCAGCUUGUCACAGAUGUGGAAUGGAAAACCAUUGGGCAAAGAAUUGUAGAACCCCUAAACAUCUAUGUGAGCUCUAUCAAGAGAGCCUUAAGAACAAGAACCCGGAAGCCCAUAUGGUUCAUGAUACCGGGUAUGAUGCUGAUGAUGAUUCCGACCUUGAAAGGGACGACCUCUUGGAUUUUGAGACUUCUGAUUGUCUCAAAGACUAAAAUCGACAUCUUGUCUUAUUGUUUUAUGAAUUGCUUUGAUUUCAUUUCUGUUAUAUCUUGCCUGAGUUUGUUUGAUAAUGUGAAUGAUUUUAUUGAUACAAAGAGUUGCCUGAAGGGCAUUAUAGUACGGGUAUAGUAGCCUAGUAAGAAAUUAUGGCCAAGGCAUUGCCUUAAAAGGCAUUAUAUACACCCAAUAAUAUGUGACCCAUUGUGUUAUGAUAAUAUGGUUUCUAAAUAGAAACAAUGGGCAAAGAAAAGGAAACAAGUUCCUUCAGAUUUUGAAACAAAAAUCGCCUAAGACCUUAUAAGAAAGUGGUCAAGACUAUACAUGUGUACUCUACUGAUCAAAACUAUGCUACAAAUCAGUAUGAAUAAGAGGCAAGAGCCGUGGUGACUAUACUCAUAUAUAUCCCACGAAAUUUUAUACACUAUAUGGCAAAGACCGGAUUAGCCAUCUUGGUCCAUAACUGAUGAAAAGGGUUAAAUUUGAAAGGCACAAAGAGCUAUUCCCAUUAGAAUUCACGUUGUGAAACAUGUACACAAAGGGAAACUCAUUAAGGCUUUAUUAUCCUAAGAACCACGAAAUUAUAGUAUGUUCAUGAUGGGGAGAGAGGAUAAAAAACCCUAAAUCCAUGAUCACACUACAAAUUCGUGAAACAUGGUCUAGAACCAUGAUAUAAACGGCUUGGCCGUGUUGUGCAGGCUUGGCCGCACAGUCCAUUACCUAUAAAGGUUCAGACAUCCAUCCUAGAGCUUAUGGACAUUAUGGAUUUACAUGUAUAAAAAGUUCAACUACAUCAGGCCAUAUAAGUGAGCAUAGAUAUUCCCACCUCAGAUUGAAUAUGGGUCAUAAACCAGACAUACACCAUCUUAAGAGAUUUUGAAUAAACCACCACAUACAUAUGUGUGCCGUCUAAGAUGGAAUCUCAUAAAAGGAUUGGAAAUAUAUGUUGGAUAAGAGUAUGACUUUCUCCACGAAUUCAAAGAGACCGUGAGCCAAAAAAAAAAAACAUGGGUGAUCAAAUAGUGGCCAGGUACGGAUUGCAUGACCAAAUGGAUCUGGCUAUCCAACAUUAUAAAGAGAAAGUUAUAAGCUGGUAUAAAGAGCAAAGAAAGAAUGAUAAGAAUGAAUGGUAUCAACCAUCAUGGUCUUGGCAAGAUCCUCGGAUUAGAACUGUAGACGUCCAAAGAAAAGGUUAUAAAAGGCUAGCUAAUCGAGAUGCCAGACACUGACCCGAAAAGAGCAGAAUGACUAAGUCAUAACCAGCUUAGCACUAAACGAAAUCUGAUGUCCUUGAAAGAGACACAGUCAAGUUGCUAUAGAGUCUAUAAAAGAUAGACCAAGUGUUCCAUAAGAUAAGGAACCUCGGAAAAGAAAGAAUGGUGCAUAGAAUGACAAUCCGAGGUUAUAAGGAAACCAUACUAGACAUUGAGAAAAGGCUGCGCAGCUACACAUCUAAGGUACCAAACCAUGUAGCUUGGGACGCCAAGCUACUAGGUAACAAUGGUCCUGGAUAAUAAGAUCUCAAAUCUAUUAGAUCAUGUCUGGAACAUAAUGGAACCACAUACAUAUAUAAGUGUCGACACACACAUUAAAGAUAUUUGUAUAGAAAUACAUAAAGAGAAUAGCACUUGAGUUUAAAGACAUAAGCAAGGAUCAUGAGCCCACAAAAGAGUACUCAUAAAGAUUAAAGAAAAGAUAAACGUGGGGUUUAAAGUAUCUAUAGAAGAGAUAGUCGUAUUGGCCAUAGAAACGCCAUCUGAUAUAAACCAGUUAAAUAGAUGGGUCUUGUGAGGGAAAAGAAACCGUGAGAUAUGAUACAUGAUCACGAGGUUUAAAGGUGUUCAUGUUUCCUACUAACAGCAUUCGAUCAUAGCUUGUUACACAAGGAUACUCAUAGAGACCAUGGAACAGAUUAUAAGGAGAUAAACUCCUAUGUGGUGGGUGCUGCUACAAAUUUCGAAAUUGACAAUGGUCUGGUCAUAUGAAAGAAUUAGAUUCACAUAUAAAGAUGUAGUAAACAGCAUAUGGAUCACUGGAUGAAAGAACAGCAUUGUUCAUAAGCUGUUCAUGGACUGAAACAUAAAGCAGCUGCAUAUAUUAUGAAAGGGAGUUCUAUAAGAAUGAUCAAAUUCAGUCUAUAUGAGAAUUUAUAAAGAAAUUCGAAAUCCCUUGUGUUUAUACUAAACCAACCUAAUGAGAGGUUUAUACAGAUUAUCUAUUAAUCUGUAACCCUAGCAUGAACCGGCUAGAUCAUAGUACGGGCUAGUAGAAAAGAAAGAUCAGCCUAAAGAAAGGUGAUUGCCUCAGGUUACUAUCUCAAUAGCAUGAUCUCCGGAUUGACCAAUCCGACAUCAGAUCCUUUAGUAAGGAUCCAGCAUAGCAGAAUAGUUUGCUACUGCUGUUACUCUCACGUGACAUUGCCGUGAGGCCGAGAGAAGACGUUUAAAUCUAUCCCUCUCGAUCGGAUACCAAUAGGUUGCAGUCUAUAAGAAUGUACAAUCGAGAUCCAUGACCUAAUAGAUAUAUACCAGUGUGUGGUAUGGUCCAAUGGAAAGAUAGGUCAUAGGACGCCAUCAAGAGAUGGAUAAAGGACUGUAAUAUCCGAGAUAGAUAUAUAUAUGGUAUUGCCUGAGGCAAGAAAGAUCGAUGACCAUAUGUAUGGGUCCAUGAGUAUAUUCUGGCCAAUAAGCCAUAGUAUGAUAAAAUUAUAAAGCCAUUGAUAUACAUCCGUGUAUAGAAGAUACAACGAGACAUAGGUUCAUGAUAACCAUGUUUAGUAUAUUGUCCAUAAGUACUUAGUUUGUCCGACCAAAGUAAAGAGCAGUUGACAGUAGACGAUCACGUCUAGACCAUGGACACAUGCAAACACGAUUUGCAAAGACCCAACAGUGAUCUCCGAAGACAAUGUGGUUCACAUUGUUUAGCACACAUGCUUUACCGGGACACUCGAUGUCAAAGGACAUGAGAAACGACCUAAGAGGUCGAAGUGGUCUAUUACGGCUUAGUAAUGAAACUGGCCGAAUUCCCCACCUGCAUGUUCAGGACAGUUCACGCAUCAGAUGCGUAGACUAAAGAACUUCCACUGAGGUUCACAUCAGGGGGAGUAGUGCGUGUUGUACUUUUUUUCCUUCAUCAUGGUUUUGUCCCACUGGGUUUUCUUGAUAUGGUUUUAAUGAGGCAAUGUGAAGCGUAUUACGAAUCAUGUAUGGUUAUGGCAUCCAAGGGGGAGUGUUAUAAAUCAAGUAAUGAAUGUCCAUAACCGGCCCAGUCCAUAAACCGGUCCAUACCAAGAGAGAUAACCGAAACCCUAGAGAAAGGAGAGAGAGCAGCCGCAUGUCCUAGAGGAGAGAGAGAGGCGGCCACAAACUUAGAGAAAAGAAAAUUCUUUUCUUUUUCCUAAUAGAUGUAAUCUUUUCAUUUAUGUAUUUAGUAGUUAUCCUAAAUCUAGUAAGAUUAGGAUUUGUACUAUUUCUAUUUAUCUCUUCUUGUAAUCCUUAUAUAAGAAACCUCAUAUUAUGAAAUAAUAACACAGAACUAUUCGGUCUUCAAUCUUCUAAUUACAACAAAAAGCUCAAUUUCAAAACCUUUAUAAAAUAAAACAACAAUUUACUUUUUAGAAAGUAAAGUUUAUAAACCCAUUUAGUCACACAUGGACACAAAAGUCCCAGCCGUCCAUAGGGGAAAAUGAAUCCGAAUAAAGUCAAUUUCAGAAGUUAAGAAUUCCACUUCUAAAUUUCAGAAGUUAAGAUAACCCAUUUAGUCAUUUGGUCAACUAUUAUGUGGUUUUAGACCAAAUUCAACUUCUGCUACACUAUUUCGUUGGUUGAAAUAGAUAAAAAGUUUUCGUCCUAAGGAAAAAAAUGAAACAAAGAGUUAGGAAACUAGCUCGCAAGCUUUAUUCUUACGACAAUGGUGGUCUGAAAUUGAUGCAUCGGCAUCCCUAAGUUUGGCGCCAACAUAACGACUACAACCGGAUUCAAAUCCUAUUGUUUCUAGGAUUUUGGUUUUAAUUUUAUUUCUUUUAAAGAUUUUGGUUUUAAUUUUAUUUCUUUUAAAGAUAAUGAUGUUUUGUUUCCUUAUUGCUUUAAUUUUAGGUUUCCUAUUCCCUUAGGGUUUGUCAAAGGGAAUAGCUAUAUAAACGACUCUAGUCGUCUUGUUUUAGAUAAGUUUGAUUUUAAUAAGAAGAGCUUUGCUUUUAUUCUUUGUUCGAUUUGAUUCAAUUCAUCAAACAAGAAGUUGGUCUCAAUAAUCUAUCGAAAUAAACUCUUGAUCGAUCCAAGAACAUGUCUCGAAGAACCCUAAAUUCUUAGAUCGACCGUUUAACCAUUCGUACGCUGCGCCAUGUUGGUAUCAGAGCUUUGCUACGCUCGGAAACUUUCUCAGCCCGCUACGAUGGUUCGUACCUAUCGCCUUUCUCAGCAACAAACUGAUGACGACACCCCAGCCACCAAACAAUAUAUCGCCUCCCUUCAAGCCCAAAUCGCUAUUCUUGUGACCACUGUGACAAACUUAAUCACGCAACGUACGGCCCCUGUAAUCCGCCGUGAACGCCAUAAACAUGGUGGUAAUAACGGAGACGCAGAGGGGAACAAGAAUUCGUUUACUCUAGACUCUAGUUAUUCAGCAGUAUGCUCGCAGUAUCAACAACAAUGAUCCAGACUUGGAUAAAGAGUAUGAAGAUUUGGAUGCAAAAAGUUCAAACACAAGAGACAACGAGAACUCCUAUGUUGCUCAACUUGGAGGACCGCUUUUUGACGUUUCUGAUUCUGAAGAAGAGGAAGAACACUUUCCAGAGCAAAAUUUUGAUCCAAUAUUUGAUGUGUUUGAUCAAGACGUUGCAGAAAUUUCUCCAAUCUAUGACAUGUUCGACCAAGACGAGAUGAAAUAAGUCACGAUUGAAAAAGUGGAAGUUGAAAGCGUUAAAUUUAAUGACUCUAUCUCUACUAAAGAAACUCCAACGCUUUCUCUAGAAGAUUUUAGGACAAAUAGUGGUGUCAAAAAGAGUUUUGAUCUCAAGGAUUCAACUCAUACCUUUCAAACUAUGUCUGAAACUUCUGACUAGAGCCAUAAUUGUUUUGAGAUCAAAAGUUUGUCAACAAAGGAAGAUUGCUUUGAAGAGCAAAAACCAGAACCUGUUUUACUCUUUGACGUGGAGGACAAAAGGACAUAUGUGGAUGCGAUGAAUCAGCAUGUGAGUUUUGAUCUAAGGAGAAAGGAUUGUCAUCAACAAAUGGUUCGAAAACCACCAGAUCGUGCUCGAGAUACAGAACAUGAACAUGCCAAUCAUGUUAUAAGACACAAUCUUUUUUUACCAACAAACAGUGGCUCCGAAUGUGCAGAAGAUGACACAGUCUUGUUGGACACCAGGGUUGGUACUCUGAAAUUCAAGCAAGAUCAAAGAGAUGAUGUGAGUGAGAUGUCUCUUUCCUAGAGACACUUAUUAGAAAACAAUAUUAUUGAACUUCGGAAAGAACUGCUAUGUGAGAAGGAGAAAAGCGUGACUUUGGAGCAUGAGUUAAGUGAGAUACAUAAGAAAAUUCGUAUGUUAAACACAUGAUCUGCAACUUUGGACAAGAUUUUGAAUAUAGGAAGGACUGAGAAAACAACUACUGGUCUCUGUUAUCAAGGAUAUUCAACUAGUUCACAAACUGUUUUGUCCAAGGUACGUCCUCUUCACCAAACAAUAUGUUAUUAGGGGAUUCCAAGGAUCAAGACAUGGAGCUUCUAAACGUCUCGAAGUUGCAUAUUCCCUCUUGCGAAAUAAGUUUCUCUCCACAUCAGUAUCAUUUAGCUCAUAGGUGUGUGACAGAAAUUGAUAUUUAUACAAACCAUGGAGGAGUGCUCGUUAACAAGUUUAUUGAUGAUACGCGGCAAGAUAGUGACACUGCAGAGCAAGAAAAAAAUAUUUUUGAACUAUUGAGUAAACUUCGCAUGGGAGACGAUGACAUGUCAUCGUUGGUGCGGGUGUCUAUACGCGACAUAAAACAAAAUUAUUUCUGGCUCUCAGUGGAUUUUGGUGACGCGAAAAAUUUGGUGCUUCGAAAAUGGCAACAAAAUAAUGACGUGAAGCACAAUGAAAGGAGUAACGAGUGCAGCUUUUUCUUUGCUCCUGAAAGAUUAAUGUGGGUACGUGAUCUGAUGUUAUCUCCAUGGAGAUUGAUAUGUGUUCUACCGCUUACGGUGAGUCAUCGCGCGGGGAUGAGAAUUUUUGCAUCAAUGCCCGUGAUUCAUUCUAAUGCUUGUAAAGGAAAGGAACAUUCUGGUCUUUCACAGAAUGCGAGCAAGGAGUACAAAUUUUGCGACGGUUGGAGAUUGAUCUUACGUUGUAUGACGUUUCAUGUUAGUGCUUCUGUGGUUUUGUUAGGAGUGGACCCUACAUCAGUAUGGGAAUUUCCUUGUGUCAUCGCUUUUGGUAUGGAGGAAUCUGAGUUUCUGUGUACACCACUAGCUUGUCAGCCGUUCGUGUUACUUCCCUACAUGUUUAAAACAGCGUCAAGAAGGUUCAUGUAUGCCACUGGAUUGCAGUGGGGAACUAAUCAAGAGCGCUUACGAGUCAUGUGUAUAUUAAUACCGGGAUCAUAUAAUGAUGUGACAAACAGUCUUGUUGCUGAAGUAUUCCAGCUUGUUAGACCUAUGUGGCUUAUGGGGAUCUCACGUUUCUCACCAUUUCUCUUACCGAGAUUACGGUAUUCUUCCUUUCAGCAUUUUAUGUCCAAUAUAAGUCUCGUGAGGUUGAUUAUACGUAUAGAAGCAGAAGUGUGUGCUAUCCACAUUGGAAGUAAGGCCGAUAGAUGUUGACGUGUGGUGUUGUGCGAUGUUUUUCAACGGGCCAACAACUUUGGAGAGUUACGUUUCUUGUGCUUCAAGCAAGUACUUGUGGGAGUCCUUUAGUUGUGUGUUCCGUGUUCAUUAUAACUCUUCUGUUUUGCUACUACCAUCGUCCUCGGGUGGUUUAGCUACUUUAAUGCGGGUAAUAGGAAACAAAGUAUUUGCUUUUCAAGACCCGUGGAAUGAGGAGUUCAAGCUUUUGGCAAAGUUCGACAUGCGCCAUGGUAACCUUCGUCCGCAUGUGCAACCAUCGGUUAUUAUUCGAUGGUCUCUUUUUAAGAUUGUGAUGAGACCAAUAUGUGGUAAUCGUCCUUUUGGUGUCGUGAUGAUUAUUCUACACUCUAAUCGCUGCCAGUUCCUUGAGUUUAGGAGCUUGUGCAAUUAGUUCUGCAGACAUAAAGAAAUACACAUGUGGUUUUUGUGGGAUUUGCAUUAUAUAAAAAGAGAUUUUCUUGGUCCACAGCUUGGUUCUAGUUACACACCCGUGACUUUAAUCUGGUGGAGAGAUGUUACUUGCAGGUCAAGCAAGCUUUUGUGCGUCUUGGAUGAAGACGUGCCUUUCCGUAGGAAUACCUCGUUUUCAUGGAGAGGUGCUUUUGAAUGUGUUUACAUCUUCUCACAUAAUAUGGUGGAUGGUAGGGAGCUUACGAUGCUUCUUCAACGUCUCGAUAAGUUCUACAACAUCUCUUGGUUAUGCGGUGACCUCUUAACCUGUAAUCAAGUCAGGUGUGCUACACAUGGACAUAUUAAAAUUCUUGGUGCGAACGUGGAGAGUUCAGCAGAGAGUAUAGAUGCAACAAUGAGGAUGCUUCUAUUGGAAGUUUGUGAGCAGAGAUUUUCUUUGAAUGAUUCGAUGAACAAGACUGCAGCAGAUGUUCGUCGCAGGUGCCUUGUGUUUGACGUGGGAGAUUUGGUGUGGGCGUAUUUCACUCGUGAUCGUAUGCCAGCACACACCUAUAUCAAGCUGAAAUCUAUAAAAGUUGGUCCACUUGAAGUUCUGGAGAGAAUCAAUGAUAACGCCUAUCGCUUGAAGCUUCCUGCGGAUAUCAACACUUCUGAUGUCUUCAAUGUUAAGCAUCUGUCUCGCUAUGUUCCCGCCAAUACCGGUUCUGAUUCGGGGUCGAAUCCUUCUAACCCGGCAUCCCUAAGUUUGGCGCCAACAUAACGACUACAACCACAUUCAAAUCCUAUUGCUUCUAGGAUUUGGUUUUAGUUUUAUUUCUUUUAAAGAUAAUGAUGCUUUAUUUCUUUAUUGCUUUAAUCUUAAGUUUCCUAUUCCCUUAAGGUUUGUCAAAGGGAAUAGCUAUAUAAACGACUCUAGUCGUCUUGUUUUAGAUACGUUUGAUUUUAAUAAGAAGAGUUUUGUUUUUAUCCCUUGUUUGAUUUGAUUCAAUUCAUCAAACAUGAAGUUGGUCUCAAGAAGCUAUCGAAAGAAACUCUUGAUCGAUCCAAGAACAGGUCUCGAAAAAUCCUAAAUUCUUAGAUCGACCGUUCACCCAUUCGUACGAUGCGCCAGAAAUGAUACGCAUGUUUGUUUUAAUUAUCAAAUAAUAACAUUGAGCUACAUGCAGUAAGAGGAAUAUUCUUCUAAAUUGCUUGGUAGCAAGAUGAAAACUUUGGCAGGCGUAAACCUGUCGAUCAUGAGUUUGAGUUAUGUUAGGAAGUAAAUUGCUAUUUGUUUAGCCAAACGUUUUAAACUCCAUUAGAAAAUUUGGAGGCCAGAUUAGUCGUCGAUAUUGUUUUCAUAAGUUGGGCUUUGGCCCAGAUAACUCAAUUUUUUUUAAAUCCUAUUUUAUAUAACAUCUUAUCUUUAUUAUUAUCAAAAAUAUUUCACGUAUAUGAAUCAAACCAUACAACAAACACAUUUUUAAUUAAAACUAGGUGUUGGAUUUGUGCGAGUUAAUAUAUAUUUUAAUAAUUUUAGUUUAAUAUUAUUUUUAUAUUUAUGAUAAUGUAUUUAAUUUGAUUAAAAUAUUAUUUUUUGUGUUUUUCUGUCUUUUUAACCAAAUUUCAAUGGUUUAUUGUGUGAAUUUUUUAUUCUUAUUGUUUAUACAUGAUUCUUAUAUUUAGAAAUUGAAUCUCAAUUUAAAUGAGUUUCUUUUAAUUUUAAAGUCUAAUUUAAAAAAAAUCUUUAUUUUAGUAGUAUAUGUUCUUGGCCACAUAGAACUAUGGAGAGAAUUUGAAUAAAACUCAAUAAUACAUAUCACCAGUGAUUUUCAUGAUCAGUUUAAAGAAAUCUGAUACUUGGUUUGCAUACAAGACCCAAUGUACAUGUUAAACGUGUAUCACUAAAUAUUAAAAUUUUAAAUUGGUGUCAUGUCAUAAUAAUAGAACAAUAUUAAUUAAAUUAAACUCUGAAAAAAUUUACAUUGUGUCACGAAUAGUCAAUACUAACUUAGUUAAUGAUCUUCCUUCUGAAAUGAGAUAUUUCAAAGGUUCAACAUUCACAACUUCGCCAAUAAUAUCUAAAACACACAACAUUAGAAAGAAGAACUCGUGAACAAACAUAUCAUAAGUAAGACACAUCAAUAAAAAUAAAAUAUGAUAUAGAAAAUAUACCGACUAAAAAUUUAUUUUCAUAUUGACGUCCCUAUAUUUCGUUAAAUUCUUUGAAAUCAUUAUUUGUUGACUCUUUUGGAAAAUCAUCACAUGGUAUGAUUUUGGUUGUUAUAUAAAAAUUUAUCUUAAAAAGCAGAGAAGUUUUUUUUAUAUUUUAUGGUAUAAUCACCGAAAGUGAAAUUAUGUAGAAUAAAAGAAUCCCGUUGAGAUAACGUAUAUAGAAAAUUACCAUAAAACAAGUCGCCAAAAGAAUAUUUUUCAAUAGAAGCAUGAGUCCUAGUUCCCUACAAAUUAAAUUUCAAAUAAGUGACUAACAUCAAAUCAUAUAAUUAAUGUGAAUCAAAAAUGAAAUAAAUUAAUAUAUUUACAACAACAUCAAUACCAAUUCAAUUGAAACAAUUUUUAACUUUUUCAUGAUUUUAAAGUAUCAACACUUUUACUCUAAUUUUAUUGUAAUCUUUAGCCGACUCAAUAACUCUAAUAAGAAAAAAUGAAAUGGGGUUCUUUUUCAAAAAGACAACAUUUGAAAGUGUUUCAUAUUAUUUAAAAAUGAAGUUUUGUAAGUUUUGUGCGUAUUUCCCAUCAAACAUAUGAUGAGAAUAUAUACUAUCAUAGCAUAGAGUUGGAAUAAUUAUAAUACAUUAUUAAGAUGGAUACUAAGAUAAAAUCGACAUCAUAAUUCUUUGUAUUAGCAUUUACAUACUACUAUAACUAUAAUACAAGAUAGACUAAGAUAAAUAUCACUUAUACAUUAUCUAUAUUAUCAUUAAACGAUAAAGUAUAAUAAAAGAUAGAUUAUGUUCCACAUCCAGUAACAAAUAUAAUUUUAAAUUACGAGUAACAAAUAUGAUUUUAAAACAGAAUAAUAAGAAUUGGUUCUAACUCGUCGAAGUUACAAAAUUUAUUUAAAAUUUAUAUAUCUAAUUAAAAAUCUUGAAAUAGUUAUAUUAUUUAAAUUAAUAAAUUAAUGACUGAGAUAAAACUAAUACUCCCUCCGUUUCAUAUUAAGUGUCGUUUUAGAGAAUUUUUUUCGUUACAAAAUAAGUUCUGUUUUCGAUUUUCAAUGCAAAAUUUAUUAAUUUUAUGCAAAAUUUAUUUUUCUAUUGGUUGAAAUAUGGUUAGGUGUAUAGGUAAUAGUAUUUUUUUAUAGGAAAUGUACAAAAUUAAUUGUUUUCUUAAUCCGUAUGCCGAAACCUAAAACGACACUUAUAAUGAAACAGAGGGAGUAAUAAAUUAAUGACUUAGCUAAAUCCUAAUAAAAACAUGAAAAUAGCAAAAUUGAGUAAAAUCAUGGAGAACGUGACAAAUAAACAAAAUCAAAAUAAUUAUAUAUCUAGUUACAAAGUUUAUAGUUAUAUUAUUUAAAUUAAUAAAUUAAUUACUUAGCUAAAAAAUAAUAAUAAUUUAAUGACUAUACUAUAACCUAAUAAAAAUAUGACAAAUAAGCAAAAGUAACUAAAAUCAUGUAGAAUAUGACACAUAAGCAAUAUCAAAAUAAUUAUAUACAUGGUUACAAAUUUCAUAGUUAUAUUAUUUAAAUUAAUAAAUUGUUGACUAAAAAAAACUAUUAAUAAAUUAAUGACUCAGUUAAACCUAAUUAAAACAUGACAAAUAAGCAAAAUUACCUAAAAUCAUGGAAAGAAUGACAAAUAAGCAAAAUCACUUCAUAAAUAAUAAUAUAUAUAAGAUAACAUAAAGUAAUAAUACAAUGCUUCCUAAUUCUUUUGCAUUAUAGACUGAUUUGCUAACUCUAUCUAUUUUUGUUCUUAGUCUUAUAUAUCUUGUUAUUGAUUGUCAUUUAUUGUGAUACAACACUUUUUAUCACUUAAUAGAUCGGUGGAUGCGAUCCAUCCCUGCUCAAUCCAUACAUUCCUUCUCCUGGAGAUAACAUUUUUUGUUAUAGUGUUAACCCAUGCCAUAAAUAAUUCCUCAAACUGAAAUUGAUAAGCGCUUAACUCGAUCAUCUUCCUCUCCACGUCUUCACUUAAACAAGCCAUUAUUCCUCUUGUUGCCAAAGAGAGAUGAAACGCAUUUCUCUGAGAUAGUGGAGUCAUCAUCUUCCAUGUCAAUUUGUCAAAAGGACAAGACGUACAUAAUCUUCUCCAUGGUCAUGGUGGUUUAUGAUUCCUCUUUUUUUGUUCCAUAGUAAUUGUAAUUCUCUCAAACAAUUAUAUGGAGGGGAUAAAAUACCAUGCCUUACAAGCCAUGGAAAUGCAUUGACAACACAAAACCACCAAGUGUUGUUUGUCGGAAGAUUAUACACAACAAUAAUGGAGAUGAUAUACUCACCAAUUAGGGAGAAAAAUGACUCAUCAAAGUUCUGAUCCAAUCCUCCUAACUGUCCACUGAACCAUUGGAUAAACAUGGAAUUGUUUGCCCAUAGAGAAGACAUCAUGUGACAGCACCAAGCAGAAGAGAGACAGUGUGAUGAGAAAAUUGUUAGAAACAUAAAAACAAUAAUUUUUAGCAAAAAAAAAAAAAACAAACAUAAAAACAAUAAUAGAAGAAGAUUACAAACCGACGCCGGAGCCAGGGGUGGAUGUACCCUUACAGAUACGGGGGCACACCUUUGCGUGCUUGUGGGAGAGAGAAGCAGUUUUCCAGUAAUUACGGUGUUUAAAAAAAAAAUCUCUUCAAAUCCACAUAUAUGUAUGUAUUGGUCUUGUUGUAGUGAUUGACAAUAAUAAGGGGAUGAUUGUUUUCUUAAUUUUUAGAUUUUGGAUUUUUAUUUUGUAGUAUAUUUUAGUUUUUCCUUGAAUGGUGGUUUUAGAUUUUAGCUUUUGUUUUUAAAAAUAAUAAAAUUUGUGGAACUUAAUAUUAUAAAUAAAUACUAAUAGCGAUAGAGUUAAAUUCAGUUCUUAUGUACAUGUUGACAAAAAAAAAGUUCUUAUGUACUGUUAUUUUUGAAUUUUAUAAUAAUGCAUAUAAAUUUGAGUAUCAACAUGUACAUAAUGUGAUUUAGUUCUUAUGUUCUAACCUAUAAUGUGAUGGGAAAGAGAACGAUAACAAAGAAAAAAAAAAUUAAAUUUGUGUUAAUAGUUAAAUAGAACAGAAAUACUAUAUUUCAAACUUAGAGUAAGGAAUAUGUAUUUAUGUUGUAAUAAAUUUGAUUUCUAAUCAUAUAAAUUAAAAGUUGUUAUAAAAAAUAAAUAUAAUUAUAGUUUUUUGUAUAAAAUCAGAUAAACCAAAAAUCGAAGUAUAUAAACGGAACCAAACCAAAUUAGAUAUAGUUUUAGUAUGGUAGCUAUUUUUUAUAAACUGAAAUACUGAAAAUUGAAAAAACUGAAUCGAAACCGGAUCGAAAUCCGAAUUAAACAUAUCUAAUUUUCAUACACGUUUAUUCCGCGCAAGACGCGGAUCUCUACCAAGUUGUUCAUAAACUCAAAUCAAAACAUCAAUAAAUUAACUACACCUUAACAAAAAACUCCAAACUGCUUCGAAAUAAUAGCUUAAAAAAUUCCAGAUGCUUAGAAAAGUAGAAACAUUUUGAGGUUCAUGUGUAUUUGUUGAGUUGUAGAGUUGUAGAGUAGGUCUUAUAUAGUUAGACUAUUUAAUAAAAUUAACAGUUUUGUAAAAAAGAAGAAAAUCAUUAUUUUUUGUUGGUCGUAGGUAAUUUUAGAAAAAAACCAUUUGAAAAGAGAUUUUGGUUUCUAAGAAGUUGAUUGUUUACAGAUUCUAAAGUAGUUUUUGGUUUUUAUUUUUGAAAAAAUCAUUUUUUAGACAAUCAAGUUUUUAAAGAAAUUGAUUUUCUAUAAUAUAGGGAAACUAGUUUUUUCAAAUAACUGUUUUUUUUUCUCUAAAGAAAAACCAAAAUCUAAGUUAUUGUGGUUUUUUCAAAAUCUAAUGAUAGUUUUUCAUUUUAUUUUUAAUUUAAACUUUUGCUAUAUUUAUGCAUUAACACAUGAAAAGAAAUAAAACAAUAAAUACUAUAAACAAAUCAGCUCUAGUAAAUGCCUUUGUUUAAUAAUAUAAUACAAAAGUAAGUUCUAUUAAGAACAAUUUUAAAACUUAUCAAUAAAAUAAAAUUAGUUAUUUAAAAUAAACAUUUUACUAAUAUUUUUAUUUUAUUAAUUUUAAAAGGAAAAACCCAAAGCUAAAACAAAAAUCUAAAACAACCAAUCAUGUUUUCAAAAAACUAAAAUUUACUGCAAAAACAAAAACAAAAAUCAAAAACUAAAAACCAAAAUCCAAAAACUAGAAACCAAAAUCCAAAAACUAGUAAAACAAUCAUCACCUAAGAAGACAAUAAUAAGAGGAAUCAAAAACUAAUUUCCCUAGAGAAAUAGGGAAUCUAUUUGACCAGAAUUAUGAUCGGGUGAAAAGUAGUUUUUGGAAAAUCAAAAACUAAAACCAGUGUAUAAUCUAACAAACAAUAACCUCUAGGUGGUGUCUGAUGUCGUCGGUACAGGCACAUAAAUAAUUUAUUACAAUUUGAAAAUACCAAACAAUUUGGAGCCCAGUAAAAGCCCAACAAGAGCCAUUACAAACGGAAGUUCAAGCCUUAUAAAAUUAAAUCAGUAUUUGAAAUUCAGAAUUCAAGAACGUCGGAGAACGAAAUUGUCCCCGACGAGUUUCGAUGCAACUGCUCCAACGGGAAGCAAUGUGGGUGCAAGAGACGGGCUUUGGAAGGGAAGAAGAUGAGCGAGACUCAUACCUCGCAGCUUAGUAAGAAGCGGAAAGCUGCAGAGUCGACGAAGCGCUUGCUAUCUUCGAAGAUCAAGCCAAACGAAGGAGGAAUUAGGGCUAGGGGAUUGGGGAAACCGAAGCAGAGGCUGAUGUUGAUGAAGAUAGGGGAUUUGCAGUUGGAUUUGGUAAGGAUGUUGUUGAAGAUUCAGGUCUAAGAACAUUGGACCGUUACCUAUCUUCUCAAGAAAAAGCUUACAUUUUUACACUUUUGUGUACGCAUUUAGUUUCUUUCUGAGUCUGAAAGAGUGAGUGUUCUUUUGCGUAGAUGGUAUCGAGAAAAUGUAUCUUGAGUUAUUAACUUAUUAUGUUUGCUUUCUUACUUAUCUUGUUUACAUAUAAUAAGCCUUGCUCUUCUUUUGCUGGUUUCAUCUAAAAUAAUAAUUGCAUUAGACAAUAGUUCUAGCUAGGAAUAAUCUCGCUAGAUUGAUAACUUUUGUAGACCUAGGAUAUAUAGAGAGGCUUAGUCAUACACCAAGGUAACAACUUCAUUGCCAUAUUUCAUCUGCUUUUAGGUGCAUGAUGAUGCAAUUUGCUGAGAUGUUCUGUAUCAGUUUGUGAAGUACUACAGGAAGUAGUACAGACGUGCAUCAUGAAGAUGGAGCUGAGUGGGAGUUCGAGUUUUGUGAUUGUGUGGGCAUGCUGAGCUUGGAAAAGGAAAGAUGAUAUAUGUUUGAAGACAUAUGGAUGUUUUCCAUAAAGCAAAAGGGAAAUCCUUGAAGAUGAAGUUUUCCAUUAAAGAAAAUGGAAAGUUGUCUUAAGUGUAUUUGGAAGACUUGGAGAGCAAGUUGAAGACGUGGAGAGCAAGAUCUUGUCUGCUAUAUAAGGAGGGACGUGGCUUAUGAGAAAGUCAGACCUCAGAGAAGAGAGAGAGAGGUUUCAUUGGUGUGUGGUACUGCUUGGUGUCGAAGGACAUUCUGAAGCAUUGUCUGAUGGAGUCUGAUGUGGACUUAGUUUGGUGGCGUUUGAGUUGGCGCUUUGUGUGGUGGAGUUAGCCAUCGUGUGUAGCUCGUGAUGAGCUAUGUGUAUGCUUGGGUGAUCAAUCUUUUGGUAUCACUGGUGUGCGUUGGUUGCUGACGUACUUGGUGAAGUACUUCCUCAUCUGCAUUAACAAUUGGUAUUAGAGCGGGUCACCUAAGUUGCUGGUGAGAUCAUGGAAGAUGAGGACGAAAACUGGUUCAGGAAGUAGAACAAGUUUGAUGAAGAUGGCGUGAAGGGAUUUUUUCCUAGGUUUGGAAGGUGCUAAUCUUCGAGUUGGUUUUUGACCAUGAUGUGACUCAUAGGGGGAGAUUGAAGACGUGAUUUUCAAGCCAGUUAUGAUGAGUGCACAUGCAUACUCAAAAAGGGGGAGAUUGAAGAUGCAAUUUGCUGAGAUGUUCUGUAUCAGUUCGUUAAGUACUACAGGAAGUAGUACAGACGUGCAUCAUGAAGAUGGAGCUGAAUGGGAGUUCGAGUUUUGUGAUUGCGUGGGCUUUCUAAGCUUAGAAAAGGAAAAAUGAUAUAUGUUUGAAGACAUAUGGACGUUUUCCAUAAAGCAAAAGGGAGUUACUUGAAGAUGAAGUUUUCCAUUAAAGAAAAUGGAAAGUUGUCUUAAGUGUAUUUGGAAGAUUUGGAGAGCAAGUUGAAGACGUGGAGAGCAGGAUACGGUCUGCUAUAUAAGUAGGGAUGUGCCUUAUGAGAAAGUCAGACCUCAGAGAAGAGAGAGAGAGAGGUUUCAUUGGUGUGUGGUACUGCUUGGUAGGCAUGGGCGUUCGGGUACCCGUUGGCGUUCGGGUCGGGUUUUUCGGAUUUCGGUUCUUUUUGAUAACACCUCCUAGGUCCCAUUCUAGUAAAUUUGCAAGUACGGGUUGGGUUCGGAUAUAACACAUCGGGUUUGGGUCGGUUCUGUAUCACAUCAUAGAACCCAUAAAGUAACCAUAUAUAUGAUUCGGAUUCGGGUUAUAUCGGAUCGGUUCAGAUAUACCCGAAAUAAAAUCUAAAAUUUAAAAGCAAAACAUAAGAAAUAUAUACUUAUAUAUAUAUAAUUAAGUAUUUAAAGUAGUUAUUUAAAUUUUAAAUACUUAUUGUUAGAUAUCAUAUAAAAAUAAAUAUGAAAUUGUAUAUUUGAAAUAUAUAUUUAUGUUUCAUAUAAUUACAAUGUAUAUUAGUUUGGACAUUCGGACCGGUUUCUUCGGAUAUCUUUUCGGAUUUUUUGGUUUUUUUCGGAUUUUCGGGUUACCCGUUCGGGUUCGGUUAAUAACACUUCGGGUUCGGAUAUGUUUUGUACCACCUUACGAGAUCCAUUCGGGUAUUUUUUACAUUUCAGACCGGGUACGGAUUGGGUUUUUCGGUUCGGGUUUGGUUCGGAUUUCGGAUUAUGGAUUUUAUGCCCAGGCCUAUUGCUUGGUGUCGAAGGACAUUCUGAAGCAUUGUCUGGUGGAGUCUGAUGUGGACUUUGUUUGGUGGCGUUUGAGUUGGCGCUUUGUGUGGUGGAGUUAGCCAUCAUGUGUACCUCGUGAUGAGCUAUGUGUGUGCUUGGGUGAUCAAGCUUUUGGUGUCACUGGUGUGCGUUGGUUGCUGACGUACUUGGUGAAGUACUUCCGAGAAGUGGAAGAUUGAAGCCUAGACUCAGGGGGAGUUUAGUAAAGGUGGUUUCAUUAAAGAGAUCAGUGAAGAUUGCAGCUGUAGAAGACAGUGUGCUCCGGUGCACCGGAUGGUGAUCUAUGCAUGCGUGCUUGAUUCCUAAUCUUUUUAGAUUGAUUACUUAAAAAAUAGUGGUAGACACUAGUGUGUGUUGUACCAUAUAGCAAUUGUAGGUUGCCCCUUGUUCUAAGUCAAUGAAAUCUGGACGAGGUCCCGGGGAUGUAGAAGACGAACCCCAUUAACAAACUUUGUGUCUUUUUACUUUCUGCAUUUGUUUUUCGUCGCCUCAUCUGCACUAACAGUGCAUACAUAUCAUUUUUGUUUUGUUUAAAGUAAGCUUGCUUGAAUUUCGUCUCUACUUACCCUAUAAUUAAGUGGCUUAAAUGUUAGGAUGUAACACUAGAUACUCUCUUCCUGCAACUUCCGGCUUUAAUAACAUCACUUGAGAUUUUAUCUAGAAUUUUUCUAGUUUUGCUAGAAGCAGUCAUCUUACUGAGUUGUGGCUUGGAAUGAACUAGGAACAAGUAGGGAUAUCAAUUGGGCACAUUGUCCAUGGGCGGCCCAUGUCCAAAUCGAUAUAGACUAAUGUGGUCACGCCCAAAUCUGCCCGAAAUAUUUUCUGUCCAAAUGGACUAUGCCCAGAUACGCCCAAAGUCCAAUGGACAAAACCAAAUGGACAUGGGCCGCCUAAAUACGCCCAUAUUUUAAAAAUAUCUAGGGUUAGUAUUUGGGGAAAAAAAAUCUGAAAUCACAAUUGGUCUCCGUCUGUCUCUCGAGUCUGAUGGGUUAAUGGGUUUCCGAUUUGAUUGCUUUUAGGUUGAUGGGUAUGCAUGUUAUGUUUAAUCUGAGUAAUGGAACUACUACUUUGUGGCGUCAUAUUAAACACUGUUCUAAGACUCCUGCUUCUGGAAGUACACCUGGAGGUAGCAAUAGGAAGUUUGAUAUAAUGGUCUUCCGUGAAAUGAUUGAUGGUGCCAUAGUUCAUUUGUCGAGUUUAGAAGGAUUAGAGAAGCGUUUAAGUAUGCGAAUCCUAGUAUUGAGUUUUGGUGUAGAAAUACUGCCGUAUCAGAUGUCCUGAAGAUAUAUGAGAAUGAGAAAGCUCAUCUUAGAAAGGUUUUGAGUGAAAUUCCUGGUAGAGUUUGCUUGACUACUGAUUUGUGAAGAGCCAUCAGAAAGGUUUAUGGAAGUCUGGAAAAUAGAAUGCUGGCUAAGAGCGAAUGAGACUUCAGAAGAUGAGACAAUUUGUCAAAUGGUGGAAACAAUGAGGCUGAAAUUUGACAAGUACUGGGAAGAAUACAGUGACAUACUUUCUAUUGUUGCGGUGUUGGAUCCAAGGUUGAAGUUCGCUGCAUUGGAAUAUUGUUAUGACGUCUUAGAUCCAUUUACAAGCAAGUCGAAAGUUGAUCAUAUCCGGAAGAAGAUAAAGAAGUUGUAUGGAGUUUAUAAAAAAGAUCGUAAGAGCACUACUGCGAGCCCUUCAGAAACACAAUUGGUGAACAGUAUACCAGCUGGAUAUGGGGUAAGUAGUUAGUGUUAUAAUGCAUGAGUUUUUGUACUUGGUGUCUUACUGUUUUUAUGUUCAUAAUGCAGGAGUUUUAUGCAUUCUUUUCUUCAAAGGAGGGAAGAAGAAAAUCAGCUUUAGAUGUGUACUUGGUUGAACCGGUUUUAGAUAUGGCUGCCUUUAUGACUAUAGAUGUCUUGAGAUACUGGAAAAAAAUGCAACACGGUUUAAAAAGCUGGCUCGCAUGGCGUGUGAUGUUCUUUCAAUUCCCAUUACAAUCGUGUCCUCUGAGUCGUCAUUCAGUGCUGGAAGCCAUGUUCUUAGCAAGUAUAGGAGUCGACUUCCUCCAUCAAAUGUACAAGCUCUCAUUUGUGGAAGAAAUUGGCUGCGUGAAUUUGAAGUGACGAGUAAGUUGUCUCUUUAAGUAAAUGUCUCUGUUGUGAUGCAUGCCUCUUAGUUAUGAUUGAUUUGAACUGGAAAUGCUUUGCAAGUGAUAAGCUAGUUUAAGUAAAUGCCUCUGUUGUGAUAAGCUAGUUUCAGAAAAUGCUUUGCAAGUGAUAUAUGUUCAACAUGUUAGCUCGUUCUUUUUUUGAAUUAAUCUGUCGCUUUGUUUCAUUGUUUGUGAUGAUUUUAACAUAUCUCUGUUCAUGUUAGGUGAUUCUGAAGAUGAAGAAGAAGAAGAAGAAAAAGAGAAGGAAGGUGAAAAAGAAGGUGGAAGAAAGAAGAAAAAGAAGUAGAUUAAGUGAAUGAAUGAAGCAUGAAAGUUUAAUUUAAGUACCUUUUAGCUUUUGUAAGACAUGCAUUUUAAGUUUAAGUUUAAGACUUUAAGUAUCUUUUGUGAAACAUGAAAUUUAAGUUUAAGUAUCUUUUGUAAAACAUGAAAUUUAAGUAAGUUUAAGAUGUUAUAUAUAUAUAUGACAUUUCUAAUCUAUACAUCUUUUAAGUUUGAAAAUUAGACAUUUUACAUUAAAUGAACAUCUGGACUCCAUGGACAGUCCACCUGGUCAUGGUCCUAUUUGGACAUGGUCAUAUUUGGACAUGGAGCUAUUUGGGCUCGACCAAAAAUGCCCAGAAAAAAAUAAGCCCAUCUGGUCACGUCCAAAUCCACCCAGUCCGUCCAAUUGACAUCCUAGGAACAAGGAAUCAAAAGAAGGAGUUGACAAGUACCAAUCUUGAUUCUUGACUAGUGAGAAGUACACCAGUUUUUGAGAAGCCCUACCUACCUCAAUGAUUUCCCACUAAAAAUUCAACACGGCUGCUCUAGGACCAUGGGACCAGGAAAAGCAAGUUAUAUGAUCUUUCUUUAUUAAAGCACAUGCCUUUUGUUAUCAUGUGAUUGGAAAUUUAUCAAACCAAUACAUCCAUAGAUGUUAAUGUGCUGAACAUAUGUAACAUCUUGGCGGUUUCUGAUUUUUGACUUUUUGCAGCUUUCUAGAUGAAGAAGCUGAUGAAGUUCCAAUUGCAGGUAAUUUCUAAUGCAUUGGCCACACUUUUGUCCAAACUAGGGUAUACAUAUGAACCAUGGAAGACAUGCAGUUAAUUUUGUAGUAGAGUACACACACUUGUCUUGAAAAGAUAAGUGUUAAUCAGGGAACUAAGAUUCAUGAUGGUCUAGGUUAUACUUUGUCUACUAUUAAUGUAUGAUUAGUUUGAAUUCCUAACUGGUUUGAAAGCUAUUCAAAAUGUCAGCUUUUCUCAGUUCACAUUGGUACUUGAGUGAGAGGAAAGUGUAGUGAGCAAUAAACACUUCUUUUUUUAAAUUACUGUCGACUUAAGUCGCUAAAUAAUUUUUUUUUACUAUUGUAUUUAAUCAUUAUGUUGUGUUCUUUCUAUUGUCUGAUUCUAAAAUGGUUCAAACAACACGUUUUUCAUGAUUCCAACGUCAAAUUAGGUUGACUUUUACCAUAUCUAGACUCAUUACGUUAUAGGGUUUCUCUUAGAUUACAGAAGAAGAAAAAAGCUUCAAAGCUUCCGUGGACCAAGUCAGACUUAUCUUCUCUUUCCUUACUUGUAUGCUAACGUUUGUUCCGUUUCACGCCUUAGGUGAGGCAGAUACCUAUGAGUUUGAUCCAGUUCAAGGCAGUUUCACGGCCAACAACACUUUUGCCAAAAAUCUCAACAGUCUUGUCUCCUCUCUAUCCUCACUAACACCCAAAGUUUAUGGCUUCUACAGCCUCACUUCUGGAAACUCAUCUGGAGAACCAGCUUACGCAAUUGCCCUUUGUAAAAGAGAAGUCAAAAGACAUGAUUGUCUCAGAUGUAUUCAGACAGCUGCAAGAAACAUCACCGAGCUGUAUCCAGGGAAGAAAGAGGAUAUUGUGUGGUACACACACUGUAUGUUUCGCUACUCAAACAGGGUAAUCUAU